AAACAACAGACAAGGUCUCGAAAUUAUCAGGGUCCUCCAAAUACAACUUCAAAUCAGCUGCCCUUUUCGCAGUACCGAACCUUACACAUGGAGCUCUAGUCAUACCAUCUUUCAAUAGAACACUUGUAGCUCCACCAGACAAAUGAAUAGCCUUACAGCCCCUAUUAGUGCUAGCCACCAAGCACCCUUCCGUGGUUGCCAUAGGAACCGAGUACUCUCUUCCAUUAACCAACAAAGGCCCGGAAAUUCCAACGGGAAUUUGCACGUAGCCAACCGGCAUCUCACAACACUGCCCCAAAAUCGACUCGUAAUCAAACCCAUCCAAGGGCAAUCCUGAUAACGACUUCCCUGUUAAUCUUUGCAACGCUUCCCGCCUGAUUGCGGCCGCCCUCUUGCAAUCACCCAAUUUCGAUUCCAAGGAAUACGAAGGGGUUGUUCCAGCAACUACAGAUUUAAUUAUUUCUUCAUCUUCCUCCGUUAGUACCGUCACAGGCUUUUCAUCGAACACUUUCUGGGCAGUCACGAUUGGUGCCGCAGGAGGCAAAGGAGGAAGCAAGCAAUCAAGAGCUUGUCCGCAAGGGACCUUACGGGCAUCCUCUUUUGCAAGCAAAACUUCGUUUUCCUCUUCCUCGUCUUCGGCAAUCCAAUCGUCAGACGAUGGCCGGAAAACCAAAGAUUGAACGAAGUCAAGCCCAAAGAAACCCAAAAGGUAAAUAAACGAUGCGAAAAACGCGAGAAUCGCGAUGAUCUCAGAAAAGGUGACGACAUGGAGAGGCGUGGAGGUACGGAUCUUCUCACGCCAACGGGAAAGAAGGAAAUAAACCACCGAGAAGAAGAGGGUAAAGAACACCGCAUUCGUCAGAUGAAAAGGAAGCGGCAAUGCGUCGGAGGCUUUAGUGGGAUCUUCCUCUAAAGGAAUCUUCUUCGUGGGCUUGAGAGAUUGAACUCGUUUAGUCGAAUACAGCCGGGGAGCCUCCAUUUUGGGUGUCGACGGCGGCGGAAACCCGGCGGUGGAGGAGGAGAAUAGAAGAGGAAUGAAAGUAAGAGAUGAUUUCAGUUAGUUUUACGAUUAUGGUGAAGGUGGAGCUUGAGAUGCUAGAGUUUAGGGAGGGAAGGGGAGUAUUUAUAGGAUAAAGAGUAAAGAGAGCGUGAGGAAAAAGGCGCGUGAAGUGAAGAUGGGGCAGUGUUUGGCACUUGUUAGUGUGGAGCUUUACCAAGAGAAGAGUCAAAGAAAGAAUUAUAGGGAUAGUGUUUGGAAGCGUGCAGUGCAUGGGAGCAACGUCGUCAGCACAUCCUGGCUGCUUCAUUUUCAUUUAGGGUAAACUACACAAUCAGUCACUAAAGUAUGGGUACGUUUUUGUUUUGAUCACUGAACUAAAAAAGUUACAAUUUUGUUACUGAACUAUUCAAAAGUUUCCAUUUAAGUCACUGAGCUGUUAAAAUCGAUGCUACACAGCUUUUUCUCUUCACACUGCCUACAUGAAUCGGAAGUUCUCUUUCCCUUUCUUUUUUACGAUUCAAUUUUUUUCUACAACUUUUUUCUUCGUUAGAAAAUGACCUUCAGAUCGACUUGAAUCUAAGAUAUGUUCUUUUACUUGCUAAUGGGUAUUGAUCCACUGUACCAGUCGUUGAGUCGUCACUUGGAGCUCGUUGACAGAAUUUUUAAAAAAAAAUAGUUAACAACCUAGUGACUUAAACAAUUUUUUUUGAAUAGUUCAAUGACUUAAAUGAAAAAUUUCAAAUAUUUUAGUGACCAAAUUGUAACUUUUUAGUUAAGUGACCAAAACGAAAACUUAUCCAUAAUUUAGUGACUAAUAAUAUAAUUUUCCAUUCAUUAUAUUUGGUCUUUCUCCCUAUUUUGAUAUUUUCUGUCACGUGUUUUUCAUUAUUGUAUGGGUUUAAUUAUUCCUUAUUUUGGGUUGUUUUUCAUAAUAAAUUAUCCAAAUAAAUAUUAACGCUGUUGUUAAGUUAUAUACAUUUUUGGGCAAAUGUCUAUUAAAAGAAAUAGAAAUGAAAGAAAGUCGUAUUUAUUAUUAGCAUAAUUUUUUUACCUUCCAAAUUUAUAAAAAAAUUAUUUAUUUUAUCUCUUUUAGUCUUUCAAUUUAUUUUUUUAUCAAAUUAUUUCAAAAUGAAUUAAAAAGUUAAAAUUCUUUAACUUUGUUGAUGUUACAUACACGUGGAUUACCAUCUAGAUAACACAUAAAUAUUUAAAAUCUUAAAAACAUUAACAAAUAUAUAUUUUUAUAAUUUUAUACUUUUAUAAUACUUUUAUUGGUUUUUAAAUUUUAAAAAUAGUUUUUAAAAAUAUAUUUUUAAAAUUUUAAAUUUAAAAAAAUUAAUUAAAUACCGGCGUGUUAUCCACGUGACAAUGCACGUGUAUUCAAGUAAGCAAAGUUAAACAACAUCAACUUUUUCAUUCAUUUUGAGGUAAUUUGAUAAAAAAAUUAGUUUAAGAGCUAAAAAAGGACAAAAUUAAAUAGAAAACUAAAAUGACAUUUUUUUGUAAAGUUAAAGAAUCAAAUAAAUUAUUAUGCCUUUAUUAUUUAAUAAAAUUUAUGCAAAGUAGGACUUUGACUUGAAUUCAUAAUUAAUUUUGAUUUUUUCCUUUUGCUCGUAAUUAAUUGGAUAAGUUUAUAAUUUAAAUUAAUAUGUAAAAAAAUUAAAAUAUAGAGCUUUCACAGCUCAUUUUUCCUUUUUAGAUUAUUAUUUUUUUGCAUGUUUAUUAAAUUAAAGUUCAAAUUUGACAUUUUUAAUAUUUUAAUAUAAUCAAAUUAGACCUAUUUUAUAUUAAAUAAAAUCUAACCCAUUCUUUAAUCCUUAAUUUUCACGUUUCUGUAUUUUUUUCCCAUCAAUUCAAGCAGCCUCUUGCUCUGUAGUCAUAUGUAUGUAUAUAUGACAAUAAUUAUUAUUCGGUUUACGUGGACUUUUAUACAAUAAUGAAGAUUUUUUUUAGGGUAAAUUAUUAAAACAUCAUUUCAAAAAUCAAGUGUAAUAAACAAAAUCCUUAAUCCAAUAAUAAUAAUAAUAAUAAAUUGGAUCUUUGAAUUAUCGUUUCUAUCACGACUCUUGAUAAUUAAUUACUGACAUGAUAAGUGAUGUGGUGGGUGACAUGAAACUUUUGAUGAUAUGGUGGUUGAUAUGGAGGACUUAAUUGAUUUUUGUUAUUAUUUUAGGAGGCUUAAUUGAUGUUUAAGGAUUAUAUAACAAUUCUUAAGAAAUUAUUGAAAAUUAUUAAAAAAACAAAAAUGGAAAGAAAAUAUUAAAAUUAUUAUAAAAUUUUAGCUAAAAGUUAUUAAAAUAUUUAAAAAAUGUUGAAAAUUAUACAACUAUAGAAUUUAUUAAAUAUCAUAAAAUUUUAAAACUAUUAUUAAUAUGUUAUGAAAAUAAUGGAAAUAUUAAAUUAAUAUUAUAAAAAAUUUAGAAAUGAUAGGAAAUGAUAUAAAAACAAUUAAAAUGAUAAAAAAAUAAAAAUAAAAAUUAUUGAAAGUAUAAAAAAUUUGAGUUAAGGUAGUGAUUGUAUAGACGAUAAAAAUUUUAUAUGCUUAAAAGUUAAUGACAUGGUUUAUUCUAUUCGUGCCUAAAAACAUUAAUUUAUAAAAUAAUUUAUUUUUAUAAAUAUUAAUAUAUACACUUUUUUAGAUUGAUAUGAUAGAAAAAUCGAAUCGAUUAAAAAUUUUACAAUAAAAUGAUUUAAAAAAAAAAUAAAGAAUGUUUUUUGGGCUACGUAAAAGAAUAUUGAUCACUCUAUAAGACUGGUUUUUUAUAUCCUUUUGCAUAUAUUUUAGUAGAUAAGGGAGAAAUUAUUUUCUUUACGCCUCUGGUUUCUAUACGGCUGAAAUUUUCAUUCAGUCAAUGACAUGAAUUUCAAAAUAGGAUGCCUAUUUAAUUUUUAUAAAUACAAAUGAUUGUACCCAAAUAUAAUAAUUUGCAUGCGUAUAUAUAUUUGAAUAAUUUCUGAUAGUUCUCUUUAAUAUUACUUAUAGUCUAUUCCCAGCUCAUAAAUAGGAGGAUAAUGUGAUUCAGCAUACUCAAACCCACGUCAUCUUGCAUUGAAAACAAUAAUCAUACUAAUCGAACUAAGACUCAAUCAACAAUUUGCAUAAUUCAUGCAAUUGGUGAUUAUUAUAAAACAACAUUCAAUAAAUAUUAAUAUUCAAAUGUUAAAUUUAUAAUUGUUUGUGCUAUUUUAGGUUCCAACAAGUUAAAAAUUCGUGUUGGGUUAGUUUUUUUUAUAUAUAUGUUUCUGGAGAUCUGUUAAAGGAUGCAGUCAAUUAUCAGGAGUCACUCUCGAAGGGUCUUAUCAUAUAAUAGAACACAAUAAUGGUAUUUGUUAAAAUUGGAAUCUAAGAUGGUGAAAAGGAGGAUAGCCACCUUUGACUUAACCUUUUGUACAUUAUGGAUGCGAUGAGUCUCUUGAUUGAUCGAAGUUUAUUGUCAGCCUUUUGUACAUCACAGAUGCAGUGAGUCUCUUGACAGAUAUUUCUUGGUUGACUGGAGUUUAUUGUCAGGUUGGUUUGAUGAUGGCACGAUUAAGAUACAAUUUUCAAUGGUUUGAUCAAGAUGGUACAUUUUUUGUUUGUUUUUGAAUUCUUUUAGAGUUACGAAUAUUUUACAAACAUAUAACAUAUGAGCAUCAAUUUAUAAUUUAUUAUAUCCCAUAUUUUUAUAUUCUUAUUAUUCAUGAUUGCUAUUAAUGAUAUGUUUUCUUUGUACAUAUAUGAAAUAGACGAUAAGAUUGAAGUAAUUUCUUUUUCCAAAAUAAUAAGCAUGCAUGAGAAUUGUUCAUCGCCAUGUGCUAAAGACUUGGACUGUUUGUCAAAGUUCUCUUCAAAAAAAUCAUAUAACUCACAAUGAAAGUUUAUAUAUAUAUAUAUAUAUAUAUAUAUAUAAGCAUAGUCAGGCCAACCAAUGUAGAAAAAAACUAACAUGAUAUCAUCUUUUCUUAUUGCCCAGUAUUUAUUUAGCAAAUAUUGACUGUAAUAUUGUCAUGAUUAGACCAUAUUAUUUUUGGACAAGAACAAGGUCAUUUCCAGUAAAUUCAAAAUAAAAUAUUAACUUAGUUUUAAAAUUAGAUUAAAAAGACAAUGUAACCCAAAAAGUUCAAAUAAGCCCCUAUUUUAAUAAAAUCAGUAGGUUCAAAUUUAAAAUUUCGAACAAAAUUAGGUGUCUAUAUAGAUAUUUUGUUAAAUACCAAAAUUUCCAAUGAAUUAUCAAAAUUUCUAAACUUAUACCAGAAUACCAAAAUUUCUAAAGUAAUAGUUGAUAUACCAAAGAUAUUACGUUAUAUGCCACAAUUUUAAGGGAAUACCAAUAUUUCUAAGCAAUCUCAUUAGAAAUUUUGGUAUACCAAAUCAUGUUACACAAACUUUUACCAAAAUUUCUAAGAGUUCAACAUUUUAGAUCACAAUUUCAAAGUAAAUAUCAAUAUUUCUAAGGAACCUCAUUAGAAAUUUUGGUAUACCAAAAUCAUGUUGCACAAGCCUAUACCAAGAUUUUUAAUGAAAUGCUAAAAUUUCUAAGCGCAUAUCUUUAGAUAUUUUGGUAUACCCAAAUCGCGUUAUAGAAGCUUUUACCAAAAUUUCUAAAAGAAUAGUAAUAUUUCUAAGGAACCUUGCUAGAAAUUUUGGUAUAUCAAAAUCAUGUUACACAAGCCUAUACCAAAAUUUUCUAGUGAAAUACCAAAACUUCUAAGCACAUAUCUUUAGAUAUUUUAGUAUAUGCUUCAAUUUCUAAGGGUACCAAUAUUUCUAUGGAACUUUGUCAAAAAUUUUGGUAUGCCAAAAUCAUUUUACACAAGAUUUUACCAAAAUUUCUUAGAGCUUAACCUUAGAUAUUUUGGUAUGUAGCGCAAUUCUUAAGGGAAUAUCAAUAUUUCUAAACAACCUCGUUAGAAAUUUUGGAAUACUAAAAUUAUGUUACACAAGCCUAUAUUAAUAUCUUUAAUGAAAUAUUGAAGUUUUUAAGAGCUUAUCCUUAGAUGUUUUGACAUAUACCACUUUUUGUAAGGGAAUACCAAUAUUUCUAUAGAACUCUGUUAAAAAUUUUAGUAUACCGAAAUCUAGAUUUACAAACUUAUAUCAAGAAUUCUAACAAAAUACCAAUAUUUCUAAUAGCAUAUCCUUAAAUAAUUUGAUAUAUUCCAAAAUUUAUAAUGGAAGACCAAAAUUUCUAUAACUUUCAAUGAACUACAGUUCUUGGUAAAUCUAUAUACCUAUAUAUAUAUAUAUAUAUAUGAAAGGAAAAACAUCCUCCUUUUCUUGAUAGAUGGCACACCUAAAAUCAAUGGCGGACGUUAUAGAUGGCACACCUACAAUCAAUGGCGGAGUCAAGUAGAGGCUUAGGGGACCAUGACCUCCCAAAGUUUAAUUUUUUUUAAUUUAGUCCUUUGUAAAUAUACUAUGGCCCUUCCUAAAAUAUAAGUAGAUCCUCCUAAAGUUUAAGAUUUUUGCAAUUUCCCCCUUUAUAUAUAUUAUGGUUCUCCUAAAAAUAUAAAUACUCCCCUCCAAUAUUUUUAUAGUAUUAAAAAUAAAAUUAAAAAAAUUAUUCUUGAUAAAAACAAAGAAAAAUAUUCUUGAAGAUGCUAAAUUACUCAUGAUGACUUUUGAAUGAUAUUUUUGUUAAAAAAUAAUAAAUCAAUUGUUAUAUUGAAAUACUCCUUCUUUUGAAUUGAUUGUUUAUAUGUUUAAAUCGAUUGUUACGUAACACGUCUAAUUUUAGCAUGAUCCCCUCCAAAAUUAACAUCUUGGCUCCGCCACUGCCUACAAUACUCCUUUUAUUUUGCAUUCAAUAAAAAAAGUUAAAUUUCAAUUUCGGUUCAUCUAAUAUGCCUAAACUUGAGAUUUAAUAUAUAUACUUUAAUUUCUAACAUAAUUUGGUUUCUAUAUAUUAUUAUAAUAUUAUUAAUCAGUUCAAAUAGUUAAUAUUAUUCACUUUUCAAUUAAAAUAUUAUAUGGUUAUAUAUAAUUUGAAUACCUUAAUAGUCUUGGAGGCUAACAUACAGCUUUUUGUUUCAUUUAAGUUCGUGUCAUUUUUUUAACAUUAUAAGAUAAUGGUCAAAUUUUAUUUUUGGCCUCUAGACUAUGUUAAAACUUGAGAUUAAUCUAUAUACUUUAAUAUUUUACAUAAUUUGGGCUAUCUACUUUUAUAAUGUCAUUAGCUGGUCUAAAUAAUUAAUAUUAUUAACUAUUUUAAUUAAAAUGUUGGGUAAAUUUUUCUUAAGAACAUUAUUUCAAGAAGAAAAAAAUUAUUUUAUCGAAUUUAAAUGAGUGUUUUUAAGAGAAACUCCUAAUCAAUAUUUUUAACAUUAUUUUUAUUGUUACAUGACUAUUAAGGGAAUCUUUUUAUUUUAAAAUGUCCACCAGAGAAUUUAAUAUAAUAAUUUUAUCGAUGGUAACAAUUGAGCUAAAAUUUUUAAUUUGAAAAGUAGAUAAUUAUGUUCUUAAAAAUAAAAGUAAGACUAAAUUUCAAAUGAACAAAGUGUAUCAGGUCUUAGAGUAUAUUUUAAUCUUCAAAUUUUUACUUUAUAAUUUCACACAAAUAAAUAAUCAACUUAACGUGAAGCAUGAGAUGAGAACCUUAUUAGUAUUUUUCAAAAGUUGCUUAAUGCGCUUUAAAAGUUAUCAAGUAUUUUACAUUAAGGCAAAAAAAAAGAGAGAGAGUAAACUACACUCAAUUUCACUAAACUACUAGUAAAUUUACAUUUAGGUUACUCAACUUCAGAAAGUUAUAAAAUGAUCAUUGAACUAUUUGAAAGUUUUCAUUUAACUUGGCGGACUGUUAAAAUCAUUGAUGUAUGGCCUUUCCUAUUUGCAUCGCAAACACCAAUUGAAAGCUUUCCUUCCCUUUCUCUUCUACAUUUCAAUUUUUUUUCAUGAAAUAACUUUGAACGUGACAAAUCUGUAAACAAAAAUCUAAACAGCUUUCUUCUUUAAUCUCUAACACUAAUCGUCAGAUCAACUUGAAUAUAAUGCAUGUUCUUCUACUCAUCAAUUGGUACAGAUCCAUCGUACUGAUCGUUGAACCAUUGCUUGGAGCUCGCUAGCUUGGCCUUUUAAAAAAAAAAAAACCCUUUAUAACCCAAUGACUUAAAUGAGAGUGACCAUUCUGUAAUAUUUUGAAGUUGAGUGAUUUGAAUAUAAACCUACUAAUAGUUAUCUUUGGUUUAGUUUACCCAAAAAUAUAUAUUAUAUAUAGUUAAUAUAUGUCAUAAGUCCCUAUACUAUUCAUAAAAUUGAAAUUUAAUCCAUCUUAAUUUCUAGAAAUUUAAUCCUAUACUUUAAAGAUUUUUCAAAAUUCAAAUUCAAUUGUUAACAUUGUUAAAAUUAUUUUAUUAAAUUCAUGUUCGUUAUAACAUUAUAUUUCUAUCAAGUGAGUUUUUUUUUAAAUGUCACGCCAAUAAAUUUUAAAAAAAAAUAAUGUUAACAAGUGUACCAAUAUUUUGAAAUCUCAAGAGUAGAAGAAUUAAAUUCUUGAAAAUAAAAAGCAUAAGAACUAAAUUUGAAAUUUAUGAAGAGUACAAUGAUUUAUGACAUAUAUAAACCUAUAUAUAAUAAAAGAAAGGAAAAAACAAAAAUACCAAAUAAAUACCAACAAGUGUUAAGGACAACAUAUCGCAUAGGAGACACAAGUUUAAAUUUUGAACACAAUAUAGUUAGGAGAAGCAGCCAUAAACCCAAACACAAACAGUAAAAGGGACAUUUAAAAUACCAAAAAAAUUACAAAAUAAAUAAAAAAAAACUACAAAGGGAAGUUUAUGCUGCAAGAGAUGAAACGCUGUGGACCAACUAAUUUUUACUCGUCAACUAAUUGGGUAUAGAUCCUUUGUUCCAUAUUCAUCAUCUACCAUUGUAAGAUAUGGCUUCCAAGGCCUCCCUGACGGUAUCAGAGUAAUUCUGUGCCUCUCUAAUGAAAUUAAUUGAUGACGGUUGGCCGGCUCGAAACACAACCUCAUUUCUCAUUUUCCGGAUAAUAAACAGACACCCAAAAGUUAAGACUGUAUCCUGAUCACUGAAGACAACCAGUGAGAGAUAUUAUACCGUGACAAUAAAUGGGAUGUACAUCUAAGCUAGACACAAGGAGAUAUGUCUCCUUAGUACUUUCUACCAUUGGAGAUUGCAACUUUACCCCCAAAUAUCAGACUAUCGUUACGUUUUCUCUAUGAAGAAGCCUUGGACACAUCCUUAGUUGACCUAUUGUACUUCAUAUGGCUCUUAACUAAUUGUCCUGCUGCAAUUGCAGACAUAAGCGACAGCUCCCCUGCAAGAACAGCAGACGCUACAAUGGUUGCCAGCGUCCUAGAGUUUGCUCCUGGUGUCUCUUUGCUUGCACCCUUCACUCCAAGUAAGUUCAAACAGGCUGAUUGAGAUGCAAGCUGAGUUCCACCACCAACAGUCCCAACCUAAAAGAUACAGCAACACAGAUUAUUAGAGACUAACAUAAAUACCCAGAUUUUGUUUUGGCAACGAAAGUCCUUGUGUUGGAUAAUCAGACAGCAACACUAUCAAUUACCUCGAUGGAAGGCAUUGUGACAGAGACGUGGAGGUCCUUUCCAUCAUUAACAGCUUCCAUCAUCGUGAUGCAAUGCGAGCUCUCGACAUUUUGAGCCGGAUCUUGGCCGGUAGCUAUGUAGAUUGCAGCAACGAUGUUACUGGCGUGAGCGUUGAAUCCACCCAGAGCUCCAGCCAUAGCUGAUCCAGUAAGGUUCUUAAGCAUGUUAAGCUCAACGAGAGAUUCCACACUUGUCUUCAAGACCUUCCUAACCACAUCACCCUUAAUGGUGGCUUCACAGACAACAGAUUUGCCUCGUCCUUCAAUCCAAUUUACCGCAGCCGGUUUUUUGUCGGAACAAUAGUUUCCUAUAUGCGCAAAUUCAUAAAUAUCAGUGAUCCUAUGUCGGAACAGUGAAAGACAUAAUUACAAGCCUAUACAAAAAACUGAAACUCACCAGAGAUGCCGAUGACAUCCAUGUCAGGGAAAUCAGUUUGAAGGAAAUCCAAAACGUUUUGCACUCCCUUGGAAACCAUGUUCAUCCCCAUAGCAUCACCUGUACUGCAAGUGAAUCUAAUAUACAGAUUCUUUCCAGCAAUUGCACAUUUGAUACCUUGGAGCCUGCCAAAUCUACUUGAUCUGCAACCACCAAAAAGCCAAAAUUUUCAAUAUUAGCUUGAAUUUUAAAUCCAUCAAUAUGGAGUUCUAGAAAUAUCAACACAAACCUGUUGAAAACAACAGACAAGGUCUCGAAAUUAUCAGGGUCCUCCAAAUACAACUUCAAAUCAGCUGCCCUUUUCGCAGUACCGAACCUUACACAUGGAGCUCUAGUCAUACCAUCUUUCAAUAGAACACUUGUAGCUCCACCAGACAAAUGAAUAGCCUUACAGCCCCUAUUAGUGCUAGCCACCAAGCACCCUUCCGUGGUUGCCAUAGGAACCGAGUACUCUCUUCCAUUAACCAACAAAGGCCCGGAAAUUCCAACGGGAAUUUGCACGUAGCCAACCGGCAUCUCACAACACUGCCCCAAAAUCGACUCGUAAUCAAACCCAUCCAAGGGCAAUCCUGAUAACGACUUCCCUGUUAAUCUUUGCAACGCUUCCCGCCUGAUUGCGGCCGCCCUCUUGCAAUCACCCAAUUUCGAUUCCAAGGAAUACGAAGGGGUUGUACCAGCCACUACAGAUUUAAUUAUUUCUUCAUCUUCCUCCGUUAGUACCGUCACAGGCUUUUCAUCGAACACCUUCUGAACGGUCACGAUUGGUGCCGCAGGAGGCAGAGGUGGAAGCGAACAAUCGAGAGCUUGCCCGCAAGGGACCUUACGGGCAUCUUCCUUUGCAAGCAGAACUUCAUCAUCCUCUUCCUCGUCCUCGGCAAUCCAAACGUCAGGCGAUGGUUGGAAAACCAAAGAUUGAACGAAGUCAAUCCCAAAGAAACCCAAAAGGUAAAUAAAGGACGCUAAAAAUGAGAGAAUGGCGAUGAUCUCGGAAAAGGUGACGACAUGGAGAGGUGUGGAGGUACGGAUCUUCUCACGCCAACGGGAAAGAAGAAAAUAAACCACCGAGAAGAAGAGGGUGAAGAACAGGGCAUUCGUUAGGUGCAAGGGAAGCGGCAAUGCGUCGGAGGCUUUACCGUGAUCUUCCUCUAAAGGAAUCUUCUUCGUUGGCUUGAGAGAUUGAACAGGUUUAGUCGAAUACAGCCGGGGAGCCUCCAUAUUGGGUGUCGACGGCGCGGAAGCCCGGCAGUGGAGAAGGAGAAUAGAAGAGGAGUGGAAGUGAGAGAGGAUUUCAGUUAGUUUUACGAUUAUGGUGAAGGUGGAGUUGGAGAUGCUGGAGUUUAGGGAGGGAAGGGGAGUAUUUAUAGGACAGAGAGUAAAGAGUGGUGGAGCGUGAGGAAAAAGGCGCGUGAAGUGAAGUGUUGGGCCCGUGUGAGUGGGGAGUCAAAGAAAGAAUUUGAAGGGCAGUGUUUGCGUGCAGUGCAUGUGCAUGGGGGCGCAUUGCAUUUUCCUUUCGUUUGGUCUUAUCUCCGUUAACUGCUAUUUUGUAUCUCUUUUAAUUAUUCCUUAUUUUGGGCAUUCAUUAAUUAAUAUGAGACCAUAUUUAAACUUUUGAUGAAUGGUAGUGAUAAAUAUAUAUAAUCUCGAAUAUAAAUCGUAAAAUUAACAUUAAAUAAAUAAAUAUAUAUAAUAUAUGUGAUAAAAUUUAUCAUUAGUAAUAUAGAUAAAGAUCACAGUGGAAUUUACUUCUUCGAUAUUUACAUAUUAUUAGUUUUAUAAUUGUUUAUACAAUGUUUAAAAUUAUAUAUAGCUCCUCUUAAAGGAUAAUGCGCACUCACUGAGUUAGGACUCAAUCGAUAACAAUCUUACAAAUUUUAUUUUAUAUAAAAAGAAGAGCUUCCAUUUUUUAUUAAAAAAUUACAGAUACAAUUGUGUUUAUUUUGAACAAAUGAAUUAUUCAUAUGAAUAUACAUUUUAGGGUAAAUAUUUAUAAAAAUUAAUUUUUUAAACUGGUAUGGUGAUUAACUAUUUAUAUUUAGGGUUUUGCACAGUUUUGUAUACGAUGGUGUAUUAAAUCCUGUGAAAAUAUUUCAAUGGAGAAGGGAGAAUUCAGUCUAUGACAUGAAAUUCAAAAUAGGAUGCCUGCUUUAUUAUUAUAAAUAUUGAUUCAUGCCGUCACCAUUAUUAUUUUAAAUCCUCUAAAUGAUUUAUAUAUUUAUAUAAUUUUGGAUAAUUUAAUUUAUCUUUUAAUGGAAAUGUUAAAAAAAUAAACUAUUAAAAUAGUCACUUUUGUUUACCUUAUAUUACAUUUUAGUUGUUGUAACAUUUUAGUCACUGAGCGGUUAAGUGUCAUUAAUAAUAUAAUGGUAAGCUAAUAUGGCAUGUUAAAUCAUCAUUUCAAACAAAAAAUUCAGGUUAAAUUAUACAAUUGGUCCAAUAUUUCUCUGUUUUGAACAAUUUUUUUCUUUAUUUUCCAUUCUCUUUUAUUUCUCUCUUUGUUUUCCUCCCUUUUUCAUUUUUUUAACUUAAUUUUUCUAUGUUUUCUAUUUGUUAAAACUAGUCCCUAUACUUUUAUUUUUUUGAACAUUUUAAAAUUUUUAAUUUUCCUUUUCUUCUUCUCCUUUAGUUUUAACAAAUGAAAAAUAUAGAAAAAUUACAUUAAAAGAGAUAGAAAAGGGAGAAAAACAGAGGAAGAAGUAGAAGAGAAAGAAAAAUAAAGAAAUUAAAAUGCUCAAAACGAAAAUAAUAUGGGGACCAAAUAUAUAAUUUAACCUAAAAUUUUUGUUUGAAAUGAUGAUUUAAUGUGCCACAUCAGCUUACCGUUACAUCGUUAACGGCUCAGUGACUAAAAUGUUACAACACGUUAACAUAAAUGACUAAAAUGUAACAUUUCAAACAUAACUGACUAAAAUAUAAUAAACUAAAGCAAACAAAAAAGUGACUAUUUUGAUUGUUUCCCUUUAAUAAAUGGUUCAUUACAGUAAUAUAUUAAAUUUAUUCUUAUUUUGUAUUAUUUUUCACAUGUGUAAUAUUCUGAUUAUUUUUUAAUGUUUAAUGUACUAACGUUUAAAUUUAUUCCAUCAUAGCCCAAGAAAAAUAAUAAGAAAUAGACGAUAAGAUUGAAGUAAUAUUUUUUCCAAAAUAACAAGCUUGCAUUCAUGCAUGAGAAUUAUUCAUCACCAUGUGCUAAAGACUUGGACUGUUUGUCAAAGUUUUCUUCAGAAAAAUCAUAUAAUUUAUAAUGGAAGUAUAAGCAGAGUCAGACCAACCAAAGAAGAAUCAUGAUAUCAUCUUUUUUUAUUGCCCAGUAUUUAUUUAGCAAAUAUUGACCGUAAUAUUGUCAUGGUCAGACCAUAUUAUUUUUGCACAAGUGACGCACGAAUAUUCAGUGUAGACUUGCUCAAAACAGUAGGAAAUGAUGAACAAGGUCAUUUCGUAGAAAUUGCAGUCAAUGCUCAUAUUUUGGCUUAAUCCAGCUGGAGUUUAGGUAAAAAUUGAUUCAAAAUUGGAUAACUAUAUAUAUAAUAUUGAUAUCAUAAAUAAGUUAUUUUAAUCCAAGUCAGUUCAAUCCAUGAAUACCUUUAAUAUGUAUACAUGAUAUGAUAUGUGAAAAAUGAGCUCAACUCAUGAAUAUUUCUCAUAUGUAUGCAUGCUUGAUGCAUGAUAUGUGGAAAAUAACUUAACUUGUUGUAUAGGUUUUGUACGGAGUAUGGACGGCAUUUAUAAGUUCAUUUUUGGAACUUGUAUUUUAGAGUGCAGUUGAGAACGUAAAUAAGUUUGUUGAAGUUUUCAGGGGGAGAAUUUAGAGGUGAGUAAUCUAGAUCUUUUGGUACAAAGUGAGGUUGCUCUAGCAGGAUGUGAUAAGACUUGAAUCAUUUGGUGUAUUGGGUUAAAAGAUAGUGGAUUUACUUACUAAGUUAGGCUUCACAAAUAAAGUAAAACUAAACUACGUAAACAACCUUUUGUGUUCUUGUUUUGUUGUUUUUGUCACAAUGCUACCUUCAAUUGGCAUAUCGCAAUUGAAGAAGCAAAAGUUUGUCUGGAAGAAGAAAGAUCCUAAGUGCUUGAUGUACAGUGUUUCGGUAAUGGUUGCUUUCAUCACAUGAUAGGUAAUCAUGCAUACUUUUCUAAUUUUGGAGAUCAUCAUAAGGGUCUAGUCACAUUUGGUGAUGGUAAGAAAUGUCAUAUCCAUGGAAACGGAACACUUAAUGUCCUUGGAAUGCUAAAGUUGAAGAAUGUGUUGAAAGGUCAUAUUGUUAAUGACUUGAAAGCUAAUUUGGUGAGCAUUAUCUAAAUGUGUGACUAAGGCAUGAUUAUCAAUUUCACCAAAGACAAGUAUCUGGUUUCAUCAAAGUCUUAUGAGAAGACUAAUGUUUCUAACUUAGAGUUGUGGCAUGAGAAACUUAGCCACAAUCAUUACAAAGGGCUCCGAAGAUUGGUUUGAUAUGUUGCUGGAAUAGGCAACCCAAAACUAGGUGGUGUCAUUCCUAAAGUCCGUUAUGGAUGCUUGAAAGUUAGAGAGGAUCACAUGGAGAAUCAUCAAAGGUUGUCACAUAUCCAAAUUAUUGCAUCUCUCAAGUUACUACACAUAGAUCUCAUUGGACCUAUGUGAAUCGAGAGCAUUGGAGUAAACCGUUAUGUCCUAGUCUAUGUAGAGGACUUUUCAAGGUACACAUGGGUGAGAUUUUUUAGAGAAUUCUAACACAUCUAAAGAAUUCAGGAAACUAUGCAGAAGAUUUUGUCAAUUUUUAUGACGAGGAAAUGAUCAAACUAAGGCACCGCAAUAUAAUGGAGUUAUGGGACACAAGAACCGUACCAUAUAGGAGAUGGCAUGAGUGUUGCUUAACAACAAAAGAGUUACUCAUAAGUUUUAAGUUGAGGCAGUGAACAUUGCAACCUAUAUCUUUAACAAAGUUCUUACUAGGCGAAAAACUCACAUGACACUUUGUAAGAUGUGAAAUGGGAGGAAGCCAAAUGUCAAGUAUUUCCAUGUGUUUAGAAGUACCUUGAUAGGUGUCGAAUCCACCAAAAAUGAAAUCCUACCCCUAAACAGGAUAUAAAUUAGAAGUUUAAGGAGUAAGGUCGAUCCCACAAGGACUAAUUUAUAUGAACUUGUAGUUUGUUAUAACCAGGACGUAUCGUAAGCAGUUUUGUGCCCAUGAUUUAUGCUAACCUAUACGAAAUAGAAAGAAGGAUUAAAUAUGAAUGUAACUAAAUGUCAAAAAUUAAAUAAUAAUAAUGCAAUAGAAAUAAUCAAAUCAGAAUUAAAAUUGAAUAACCUAAUAAGAUGGAUUUUGACUCUGGCUUUGGAUUGAUCCCAAACAAUGGAUUUUUUCCUCCAAUUGAUAAGUCGGGUAUAGUGACCAAGGAACAACCUCAAAUACCAACCCUUUCGUAUGUAAAUUAACUGCGGGAACAACUCUAAGUUAACCCGUACCAGGUAAAUAACACUGAAAGCAACUUCCAUGAUUUCAUUCCUUGACAACCUCGCGAACUAGAGGGACUCAGCUCAAAUUGACAGCCUCAAUUGCAUGGGUCCACACGCCUACUACCUUUUCCAUCUUUGAUUUUCCAAGUUCUUUUGAAGCAAAAUCCAAGGUUUGUUUGAGCCACAGAGCAUCUUGAAAGAGAAGUUGCUAAGUUGAAAUUCUCUCCAAAAUGGCUCGAGGGAAAACAUGAAUCAAUAGCCCCAACUGAUCUAACUGAAGGAGAAGAAAAAGUUGAAUCUGACCUUGAAACUGUAGCAAUUGCUCCUAUAGUGACUAUUUCAGCAGGUCUUGUGAGCAACCUAGCAGGAUUCAAUCAAAGGAUGGUUAGCAUUUUACUGCUUCUAUUGACUCUCAAAAUUGAUUCAUCUCCAAACUUCGAACUGAAAUCCAAGUCAUUCAACAGAUUCGAGAUCAAGAAAUUGCUUUCCGCAAUGAUUUAUUAACUCAUUCCGAACAAUAAUGUUUGACAUAUUUUUAAAAAAAAGGGAAGUAAAGAGGAAGGAGAUGAUGGCUAAGAUGGUGGCAAGUUGAUUGCUCCUACUAAUGGGAGUUUAUUUUACUUUUGGUUAUUACAAGCUUCAUUUCAUUUUGGGUAUUUCUUUUGAAAUAUUUGUAAUGAUGAACUUUUCUAAUGGAUGGAUGGAUUUUAUUUUGGCGUACAAACUCUUAUCUUCAUCUUACUUAGAUAUAAUUUUAGUAUUUAGAUUGUUGAUACAAAUACUUAAAAGGCAUUAAUGGUUGAUUUACUUGAUUAUGUUUUAAGUUAAGUGUGACGGAUAAGGGGAUUGUACUAAGGGGAAGCAUUUUUUGUUACUGUUGAUAAGCUUCCUAAUUUGAAUUGGUUUUGUUCAAAAAAUUGUAGAAGCAAGUUUCAAAAGUGGCCAGCAAAGUGCCAACGGUAGUGGCCACUAUAGAUAGCAUUGCAAUAGACUCUAUUACUAGCCAUGUUUAGAGUUAGCUUGAAAACGAUGAUGAUAUUAUGAAAAUAUGAAAGUCCAUAUUAUAUUAGUUUUUAUUAUUUAUUGCAUUUUGCUAGUUUAGCUGGUGACACGUUCAAUAAAUAUAAUUUUAAAGGUAUUUUUGUUUUUUUAACUGCAAACUGUUUGGGCAAUAAAUUUAUUUCAAAAGUUGCUUUCAAAUGCUUUAAAAGUUACGGUGUAGUUUACACUAUUCUCAGGUUACAUGGCCUGAAUUUGUCUUUAAAAGAAAGGAAAGAACAAAAUACAAAAUGAAUAAAGAAAAAUCUUUCUGUUCUGUAUAAUCUAUCUACUCCCAUUUACCCGUAGGGUGGCGUUCUUCCGUUCAAUUUCAAUGGCAUUGAUAGAGGGCAGCUUCCACAAGAUGAGUUUAAUCAUCGCCAACUAAUCGUGAAUAACCAAUAUUAAUAAAUAAUCUCCAUUCUUCUCAACCGCCAUAACUGCUCCAUCAACCUGCUAUGUCGGGUGAAAUGGGAACGUACACCUGAGCUACACAAAGGGAUAUAUCUCCUUAGUAAGUUUCUACCAUGGGAGAUUGCCACUUUACCCCCAAAUAUAAGGCCAUCAUUACGUUUUCUCUAUGAAGAAGCCUUGGACACAUCCUUACUUGACCUAUUGUACUUCAUAUGGCUCUUGACUAGUUGCCCUGCUGCAAGUGCUGACAUGAGUGACAGCUCCCCGGCAAGGACAGCACCUGCUACAAUGGUUGCCAGCAUUCUAGAGUUUGCUCCUGGUGUCUCUUUGCUUGCACCCUUCACUCCAAGUAAGUUCAAACAGGCUGACUGAGAUGCAAGCUGUGUUCCACCACCAACGGUACCAACCUAAAAGAUACAGCAACAGAUAUAAUUAGGGGGAUUCAUAAAUACCCAGAUUCUGUUUUGGUAAUGAAAAUCCUUGUGAUGGAUAAUCAGACAGCAACAUAAUCAAUUACCUCGAUGGAAGGCAUUGUGACAGAGAUGUGGAGGUCCUUGCCCUCGUUAACAGCUUCCAUCAUAGUGAUGCAAUGAGAGCUCUCAACAUUUUGAGCCGGAUCUUGGCCCGUAGCUAUGUAGAUUGCAGUGACGAUGUUACUGGCGUGAGCAUUGAAUCCACCCAGAGCUCCAGCCAUAGCUGAUCCAGUAAGGUUCUUGAGCAUGUUAAGCUCAACGAGAGAUUCCACACUUGUCUUCAAGACCUUCCUAACCACAUCACCCUUAAUGAUGGCUUCGCAAACAACAGAUUUGCCUCGUCCUUCAAUCCAAUUUACAGCCGCUGGUUUUUUGUCGGAACAAAAGUUUCCUAUAUGGACAAAUUCAUAAAUUUCAGUAAUCCUAUAUAGAACAGUAAAAACAUAGAACACAAUUACAAGUCUAUGGAAAAGUGAAACUCACCAGAGAUGCCAAUGACAUCCAUGUCAGGGAAAUCAGUUUGAAGGAAAUCCAAAACAUUUUGGACUCCCUUGGAAACCAUGUUCAUCCCCAUAGCAUCACCUGUACUGCAAGUGAAUCUAAUAUACAGAUUCUUUCCAGCAAUUGCACAUUUGAUACCUUGGAGCCUGCCAAACCUACUUGAUCUGCAACCACCAAAAAGUCAAAAUUUUCAAUAUUAGCUUGAAUUUUAAAUCCUUCAAUAUGGAGUUCUAGAAAUAUCAACACAAACCUGUUGAAAACAACAGACAAGGUCUCGAAAUUAUCAGGGUCCUCCAAAUACAACUUCAAAUCAGCUGCCCUUUUCGCAGUACCGAACCUUACACAUGGAGCUCUUGUCAUACCAUCUUUCAAUAGAACACUUGUAGCUCCACCAGACAAAUGAAUAGCCUUACAGCCCCUAUUAGUGCUAGCCACCAAGCACCCUUCCGUGGUUGCCAUAGGAACCGAGUACUCUCUUCCAUUAACCAACAAAGGCCCGGAAAUUCCAACGGGAAUUUGCACGUAGCCAACCGGCAUCUCACAACACUGCCCUAAAAUCGACUCGUAAUCAAACCCAUCCAAGGGCAAUCCAGAUAACGACUUCCCUGUUAAUCUUUGCAACGCUUCCCGCCUGAUUGCGGCCGCCCUCUUGCAAUCACCCAAUUUCGAUUCCAAGGAAUACGAAGGGGUUGUACCAGCCACUACAGAUUUAAUUAUUUCUUCAUCUUCCUCCGUUAGUACCGUCACAGGCUUUUCAUCGAACACCUUCUGAACGGUCACGAUUGGUGCCGCAGGAGGCAGAGGUGGAAGCGAACAAUCGAGAGCUUGCCCGCAAGGGACCUUACGGGCAUCUUCCUUUGCAAGCAGAACUUCAUCAUCCUCUUCCUCGUCCUCGGCAAUCCAAACGUCAGGCGAUGGUUGGAAAACCAAAGAUUGAACGAAGUCAAUCCCAAAGAAACCCAAAAGGUAAAUAAAGGACGCUAAAAAUGAGAGAAUGGCGAUGAUCUCGGAAAAGGUGACGACAUGGAGAGGUGUGGAGGUACGGAUCUUCUCACGCCAACGGGAAAGAAGAAAAUAAACCACCGAGAAGAAGAGGGUGAAGAACAGGGCAUUCGUUAGGUGCAAGGGAAGCGGCAAUGCGUCGGAGGCUUUACCGUGAUCUUCCUCUAAAGGAAUCUUCUUCGAUGGCUUGAGAGAUUGAACAGGUUUAGUCGAAUACAGCCGAGGAGCCUCCAUAUUAGGUGUCGACGGCGGCAGAAGCCCGGCAGUGGAGAAGAAGAAUAGAAGAGGAAUGGAAGUGAGAGAGGAUUUCAGUUAGUUUUACGAUUAUGGGGGAAGGUGGAGUUUGAGAUGCUGGAGUUUAGGGAGGGAAGGGGAGUAUUUAUAGGAUAGAGAGUAAAGUGUAGAGAGAGCGUGAGGAAAAAGGCGCGUGAAUUGAAGUGUUUGGCACUUGUUAGUGCGGAGCUUUACCAAGUGAAGAGUCAAUGGAAGAAUUUCAAGGGAUGUGUUUGGAAGCGUGCGUGCGUGCGUGCAGUGCAUGUGCAUGGUGGGGCAUUGCAUAAUCCUUUCAUUUGUUCUUUUCUCCUGCCACAUUUGGAGAAAAUGCUGAUUUUAAAAAAAUAUUCAGGAAAAUAUUUUUUUUCCAAUAUUUAAAAAAAUAAGUUGAUUUUGAAAAAAAUAAUAAAGCAUAUUUUGCAGAAAUUGUUUUUUUGCUGAAAAAGCUCGUAGGAUUAGUUUCUACUUUUUUAAUACAUUAGCUCAUUUGGUUAGAUGAUUAAAUGUUAAUUAUUUUGUCUUUUAAGUCUCGAGUUUGAUUCUUCUCUUACUCACAUUUGUAUUCUUAUUUCAAGUCGUUUCAAGCUUUGCUUUUAUUUUUAAUUAUGGUUUUUAACACAUUAACUCCUUUUGUUAGAUUGUUAAAUAAUAGUGAUUUUUUUUGUGAAAGAAAGGAAACAAUACAAGCUAAAUCCUCAAAGGACGGUCCACAAACAAUCUUAAGCCUAGACUUCUAAUGCAAACAAUCUUGGCUAGGCUAUCCGCAAUUAGAUUAUUUCCCUUGGGAACAUGCUGAAUUUUCCACUGCUCUAGCUUUUUAAGCGUCUGAUGAAUUCUCCUAAUAAUGGUAGAAUUGGAGAUACCCGUAUCAUCUUCCAUGAUAUCUUUAAUAGCUUCAAUACUAUCAGUUUGAAUAAGGACAUUUUGGAAACACCUAUCUGCCAUAAGAUUCAGCCCAUCCAAAAACCCCCAGAGCUCUGCCUCCAACACUGAACAAUUACCCAAAUAUCUCGCGAACCCUAUAAUUCACUCUCCCUUGUAAUCUCUCACGCAACCUUCCGCAGCUGCAAAGCCCUCGUUAAUCCUAACUGAACCAUCAGUGUUCAAAUAAACCCAACUGUAGGAGAUAUGGCAAUUAGGUAGAGUUCUUUGGGCUUCAAACUUUGAGAUCGAGGAAACAGAGGAAUACUAUUUAACCCAACUAAACUAGAUUUUAAUAAUUUCCUCAACACUCCACGAAAUUCUUUGGAAAACAAAUAUGUUGCGACUCUUCCAAAUACGCCACGUAAUAAUUCCAAAAAGGUAGGACCAAUCGAUUUCCCCUGUCGAAGAAGUCAACUGGUUCUGCAAAUUAGUCGCCGUCCAAUCAAAUAAAGAGCCUGAGUAAAAACUAGAAAAAGCUUGUUGAGGAAUGAUUUUAUCCCAAACUCCUUUGGCUGCAGGAUAAUCUCGGAGUAUAUGCAUCACAUCCUCCAAAACAUGACUACAAAUACUGCAAGUGUUGUUACUCCCACAACCUCGUCUUACUCUUUCAACAUUUGUAAGCAGCUUUUGCUUUAAGACAAGCCAAAUAAAGAAGCGGAUCCGAUAAGGGCCUUUAAAUUUCCAAGGUAUCCUCCAAAACGCUUCCUUGGGAUUCAAAGUGUCUUCACAAUGGGAUUCAAAGUGUCUUCACAAACCUUCCUAUAUGCACUCUUGAGAGAGAGAAGGUGUCAGUCGAGGUGGCUCCCCAAAUAAGUCCUAGCUUCGAUUUCUCUUUUAAGCAUAUUUGUAUUUUUUUUUCACAUUGUUUCAAAUUUUUCUUAAUUCAUCUUUUUAAUUAAUAAUUCUUUUAUUUAUAAAAUUAAAUAAUUAUUUUAAAUUAUCUAAUAAAAAAUAUAUUCUGAUAAAAAUGAUAUUUUUCAUUAUGUUAAAUAUAAUUUAUUUUUUAAAACAUCAACUUUUUGUUAUAUUUUUCUUUAUGUAAAAUAUAUAGGUUCUCCAUGUGGAUAUGGUGAUUUCUAAUAUUAUAAAAUCAAAUAAUUAUUUCAAAUAUCAUUAUUAUUUUUAUACGUAAAAUAUUUUAAAUAUCAUUAUUUUUUCAUGUACAUUGUAGGUAUGAUAUUUCAAAUAUUUUUAUACAUGAAAUAUUUCAAUUAAUUAUUUGAAAUUACAUUAUGUUUAUAUGUGAAAUAUUUCAAUUAAUCAUUUCAAAUUACAUUAUGUUUAUAUGUGAAAUAUUUCAAUUAAUUAUUUCAAAUUACAUUAUGUUUAUAUGUUAAAUAUUUCAAAAAGACGUACAAAAAUAUAUAAUACUAAAAUUUAAUACGUUCAUGAUAUGGAUUGAAAAUAAAAUUACACAUAAUAUUUAUAUUUAUUAAAGAUAAUGAUAUUUGAAAAUGAUUAUUUUAUUUUUAAAUAAAAUAAUUAUUAAUUAAAAAGAUAAAAAAAACUUGAAAACAAUAUAUUUAUUAAUUAAAAAAUUUAAAAGAAAACUUGAAACAACAUGAAAUAAAAAAAAGUACAAAUUUGCUUAGAAUAGGAAUCAAACCUAGGACUCAAUGAUAAAAUCACUAUUAUUUAACCAUAUAACCAAAGAAAUUAAUGUGAGUAGGAGAAGAAUCUAACCCGAGACUCAAGGACAAAACCAUUAAUAUUUAACUAUCUGACUAAAGGAAUUGAUAUAUUAAAAGAGUUAGAAAACACGCACUAUAAAAUGCAUUAUUUUAUUUGUCUCUCCAAAUUUAAAACCUUCUAUCAGUCAGCUGCUAUUUUGAUGUUUUCUGUCACUUAUUUAGCAUUAUUCUGCCUUUUACUUAUUCCUAAUUUUGGGUUGUUUUUCAUUAAUUAAUUAAUUAAUUAGAGAUCAUAUUAUGAAUGUAUUUAAUAUUUAUGGAAGUAAUGUUAAAAAGAAAUCUGGAGGUUUUUCUUUUUGCUCAUGAUUAAUUGGAUAAGUUUACAUUUUUACAAAAAAAAAAUAUUAAGACAAAGUCAGAGUGAAAAAAUAAUUAAGCAAGAAAAAUUCAGAAAAAUAAAUUGAUUCUUCAAUUAAAAAAAUGUAAAGCUUUAUUUGUUUUAUUAUUGAAAAAAAAAGGUCAUUCCCAAUUACUAUCAUUAAUAGUCAAAUUAUUAUUAUUUUUUUUGCAUGUUUAUUUCAUGUUAUAUUUUAACAAAAUAAAAGAAAUAUAUACUUUUUUUUAUAAAGAUUUAUUAAAUUACAGUCCAAAUUUGACAUUUAUAAUAUUAAAUAAAAUCUAAUCCACAUUUGACUCCUUAAUUAUCACGUUUCUUCCUUCCUUAAUUUUCAGUCAGUGAAUCACAUUAAAUUCAAAAUAGGAUGCAUAAUUAUUUAUUAUAUAUACAAGUGAUUGCAUAUAAUAUUAGUUCAUGCAGUCACCAGUAGUUGAAUAUUAACAUUUACAACUAUUUCCCGAGAAAAUGUAUGUGUUUUGUAUUAUAUAUAUAAGUUGGUAAUGCUGAUUGAGAAAAGACUUUUAAGAGGCUUUAAUAUCAUUGAGUUAUUAAGGUUAAGCCACUUGCUCGACUUAGUUUGUGUUUACUACAUGUAUUGUGUGUUUGGCUGUUGCAGAGUAUCCUCAGUGGAGGAGAAAAAUCAUCUGCUAUUUUUUAAAAUUCAUAUUACUAUUUUACUAUUUUACCUUUUUAAAGUAGAUCAUUUUUAUUUUUUUUAGUGUUUAAUGUACCUAGACGAUAAGAUUGAAGUAAUUUCUUUUUCCAAAAUAAUAAGCAUGCAUGAGAAUUGUUCAUCGCCAUGUGCUAAAGACUUGGACUGUUUGUCAAAGUUCUCUUCAAAGAAAUCAUAUAACUCACAAUGAAAGUUUAUAUAUAUAUAUAUAUAUAUAAUAUAAGNNNNNNNNNNNNNNNNNNNNNNNNNNNNNNNNNNNNNNNNNNNNNNNNNNNNNNNNNNNNNNNNNNNNNNNNNNNNNNNNNNNNNNNNNNNNNNNNNNNNAAAUUGGUAUCUCGUUAAACGCGCGUUGUCUUGCUUUUCAAAAAUACAAGUUCAAUUUAAUAGUUAAUCGCGAUCCGAUCAAAAUACAAAUUUUUUUUAAACACGAAGAUUUUUGAAACAAUUUUUUGAAAAUACGAUUUUUUUUAAAAACACGAGAAUUUUAGAGACACGAAAAUUCUUAAAAACACGAAUAUUUUUGAAAACACGACAAAUUUUUGAAAACAAUAUUUUUUUGAAACGCGAAAAUUUUUGAAACACGAGAAUUUUUUAGAAAACAGGAAAAAAAUAAUUUUUUUUGAUCAUCGGAAUUUUUGAGAACACGAAAAUUUUUGAAACACCGGGAUUUUUGAAAACACGAGGAUUUUUGAAACACGAAAAUUUUAAAAACACGAAAAUUUUUAAACAGGGGAAUUUUUUCGAAAACACGAAAUUUUUUGAAUAUUUACAAUUUUUAAAAGGACGUAUCGUAUUUAACAUAAACCGGUGAUAUUCACCCAACAUAGCGAUGAAAUCAUCGAUUUAAUGUUAAAUCGAUUCGUUGCCUUAUUUAUUAAAAUUAAAUUAAAUUAAAUUAAAAACAUAAAUACAAAAAAUAUAAAAGUGCAUAAAAAUACCAAUAAUAUUAAAACGAAAUGACAUAAAAAUACAUGCAUUAAAUUAAAAAUGAAAUAAAUAAAAUUACCGAAAAUGUCUGAAAUACGAGCUUCGCCGAACGGGUUACACAAAUUAAAACCCGUUUUUUCUUUUUUUCUUCUUUUAUCUUCCUUUUUCCUCUCUUUUUCUUUUUUUUUCUGGACUGGGCUGGCCUGUUGGGCUGCUGCUAGGCCUGGGGGCUGCUGCUGCACUGGGCCUGGGGGCCUGCUGCUGCGCUGGGCCUGCAUUUGGGCUGCUUCUUUCUUUUUCUUUUUUUCUGCUUCUUUCUUUCUUUCUUUUUUCUGCUGCUUCUUUUUCUGUUUUGGUUUUUUUUUUUGGGCUGGCCUGCUACUGCUGUUGGGUUGUUGGGUGCUGUGGGUCGGGUCAAUUUUGCGGGUCGGGUCGGCCCGAUUUAAAAUAAUUUUUUUCUUUUUUUCUUUUUUUCUUCUUUCUUCUUCCUCUUUUUUUCUUCUUUCUUUCUUCUUCUUUCUUUCUCUUUUUCUUCCUUUCUUUCUUCCCCGAUCAGGCCCCCCUUCGGGUUGCUUUCGUCGACGGCGACCUACUUCCCACCGACGGCCGACGGUGGCGCUCACGGUGGUCUUCCCUUUCCCCUUUUUUCUCUUUUUCUUUCUUUUUUUUUUCUUUUUGCUUGCUUUGCUUUUUUUUCUUUUUUUCUUGCCUCUUGGUUGUCUUGCUAGGUAUCGGGGCGGCGCGAGUGCGGUGGCGGAUGCGGUGGCGCGGACACGACGGCGGUGGUGCCCCUUUUUGCUGUUGUUUUUGCUCUCCUUUUUUUUUUGCUCAAAAUUUGUUUUUUUUUUUCCUUUGCUUCCUUGCUUCCCCCUUUUUCUUCCUUGCUUUGGGGGUUUUAAAACCCAUUUUAUUUUGAUGUUCUCUUCUUUUUUUGCAGGUUGCAGGUGGGCUAGGGAGGGCUUAGGUCGGCCGCCGCGCGUUGCAGGUGCAACUUGUGUCAGUGGCAGCCAGAGGGACCAAAAUGUAGUGGCAGCAAAACUUUUGGGGCCGAAACAUAAUUUUGAGAAAGUUCAAGGGUCCAAAUGUAAUUUUAAGAAAGUUUAAGGGUCAAAAUGUAAUUUAGAAAAGUUUAGGGGUUGAACUGUAAUUUUGAGAAAGUUUAGGGGUUAAAAUGCAAUUUUAAAAAAGUUUAGGGGUCAAAAUGCAAAAAAAUUAAAAAAUUUAAUUUUAAUUUUUUUUAACGAAAGUUAUUCCCGGACAAAAUUCAGUGAUUACAGCUGCCCCUCUUUGCUCAUCGCUGUGAAACAGGGAUAGAGCAAAGACUUAAAAGCACUGAAUUUUGUUCGAUCAUCCAAAAUUUUUCUUUUUAUUUGAAAAGCAGAAAUCGAGAAUAGCUCAGCGUGAAACCCGAGGCCCAACUCACCUCUAGCAAUAUGAGUUGAUUUUUUUGAAAAGCAAGAAUUGAAAAAUACCUCGACGUGACUCGAGGCUCAACUCACCUCUCGCAAUAUGAGUUGAUUUUGGAAAAAUAGAAAUUGAAAAACACCUCGACGUGACUCGAGGCUCAACUCACCUCUGGCAAUAUAAGUUGAUUUUUGAAAAACAGAAAUUUAAAAUACCUCAGCGAGAGACCCGAGGCUCAACUCACCUCUCGUAAUAUGAGUUGAUUUUUUGAAAAAAUAGAAAUUAAAAAAAAUACCUCAGCGUGACUCGAGGCUCAACUCACCUCUGUAUUAUGAGUUGAUUUUUUGAAAAAAGCAGAAAUUAAAAAAAUACCUCAGCGUGACCCGAGGCUCAACUCACCUCUGUAUUAUGAGUUGAUUUUUUGAAAAAGCAGAAAUUUAAAAAAUACCUCAGCGUGACCCGAGGCUCAACUCACCUCUGUAUUAUGAGUUGAUUUUUUGAAAAAAGCAGAAAUUAAAAAAAAUACCUCAGCGUGACCCAAGGCUCAACUCACCUCUGUAUUAUGAGUUGAUUUUUUGAAAAAAGCAGAAAUUUAAAAAAUAACUCAGCGUAACCCGAGGCUCAACUCACCUUUGUAUUAUGAGUUGAUUUUUUGAAAAAAGCAGAAAUUAAAAAAAAUACCUCAGCGUGACCCGAGGCUCAACUCACCUCUGUAUUAUGAGUUGAUUUUUUGAAAAAAAAAUAGAAUUUUAAAAAAUAUUUCUUGAAAGAAACAGGGUUUCAAAAAACAUCUGGUAAAGCUAAAAGCCUUCUUCUUCAUUGAUUCUGUGCAGUUUUCUCCCAGUAUUCCUUGCUCUACUGGUAUACCUGUAUAUGUUAUUUAUGAUGUUAUUAUGAUAUGCACAUGUUUGUCCUAAAUGCUUUUGUGUCUACAUGAUCAUGCAAUGCACCCUGGGCUAUUUGUCACGUGCCCCACUUUUGAUUUUUGUGAGGGUCCGCAUUUAUUUCCUCAAUUCUUGACUUUUCUCUCCAGUUUUGUACUCAUCCUCAAGUUUGGUGAGUAACCCACAUUUCUUCGUAUAUCACCCUCUUGCCCCCUGUUGAACUUUUUCUUGCUUUAGGGUCCUUGUAUUUAUCAAGUUCUCAUCCAGGUAAUGCUCAACAUUCCCUUUGUUUAGAGUAUGUCAUCUUACUAUUUAUCAUUUAAAUGAAUCAAACACGAGAUGCAUACAAAAGACAAAGUAGGCAUGAAAGAAAUACCUCACAUUCAUUUUUUUAAAAGCAACAAUCGAAGGAAAUUGAUAAGGAAAGUUUAACAAAUAAAUUGUCAUAAAGAAAAGAAAGCGAGUUCAAUGGCCAGAAAUGCUCUAGAUAUCCAAUGCAUGAACUUUCCAAGUUUCUUCAUCCUGGAUCUUUUCGAGCACGGCUUCUUGUGUAGAAGAUUUUGAGCUUCUGAGAAUGCUUCAAAUAUUGUAACCUCGCCAUUCGACUCUCCGUUCAAGCCAAUUGGCUUCUUCAAGCCCGAGCCCACUUUAUUAGGACGCCCUUUUGGGUUUUCAUCCUAAUCCUUUUGUUUAUCAAGACGCCCUUUUCGGGUUUUCAUCUUGAUUUUUCUUUUUUUGUUUUGUUUUUGUUUUGUUCCUUUGUUUUGUUAUUUUUUUGUUUUUUUUUUGUCUCUCUUUUUUUUAGGCAUAAUAUUUCUUCACAGAAUCUGAGUUCACUGGAUUAGGUAAUUCUUUCCCGUCCAUCUCAGUGAAAAUCAGAGCCCCUCCUGAGAAUGCCCUUUUUACAACGUAUGGCCCUUCCCAAUUUGGUGACCAUUUUCCUCGAAAGUCCUUCUGAAUCGAGAGAAUCUUUCUCAGUAUGAGCUCUCAUUCGCAAAAUUCUCUUGGCCGCACCUUUUUAUCAUGGGCCGUAAUCAUUCUCUUCUGGUACAUAUGUCCAUGACAAAUUGCCUUCAAGCGUUUCCCUUUAAUAAGGUUUAGCUGAUCAUAUCGAGCUCGAACCCACUCUGAUUCCUCUAACCUUGUCUCCAUCAAGACGCGCAGGGAUGGGAUCUCUACUUCGAUAGGCAAAACGGCUUUCAUUCCAUAGACCAGAGAAAAAGGAGUUGCCCCUGUAGACAUCCGUACAGAGGUGCGAUAUACGUACAAAGCGAAUGGUAGCUUCUCGUGCCAGUCUUUAUAUGUCUCAGUCAUCUUCCCGAGAAUCCUCUUAAUGUUCUUAUUAGCCGUUUUUACUGCUUCGUUCAUCUUUGGGCGAUAGGGCGAAGAAUUAUGAUGCUUUAUCUGAAAUUGCUCACAUACUUCUUUCAUCAUCUUGUUGUUCAAAUUUAAAGCAUUAUCUGAAAUGAUUCUUUCAGGCAGACCAUAUCGACAUAUGAUCUCAUUUUUUAAGAACCUACAGACCGCAGCCUUUGUCACAUUAGCAAAUGAAGUGGCUUCUACCCAUUUUGUGAUGUAGUCUAUAACCACAAAGAUGAAUCGAUGUCCAUUGGAAGCUUUCGGGGAAAUUGGCCAUAUAACAUCCAUGCCCCACAUAGAAAAAGGCCACGGAGAAGUAAUGACAUGAAGGGGCGAUGGAGCUGCAUGAAUUUUAUCACCAUAAAUUUGACAUUUGUGGCACUUUCGUGUUUAGCCAAUGCAAUCGCUUUCCAUCGUCAGUCAGUAAUAACCAAGUCUCAUAAUCUGCCUGGCCAUAGUGAAACCACUGGCAUGCAUUCCAAAAAUUUCUUCAUGAACCUCUUCAAGUAUCUUUCUAGCUUCAACAGCGUCCACGCACCUAAUGAGCACUUGAUCUUUUCCUUUUUUGUAUAGAAUAUCCCCAUCAAGAAUAAAUCCAACCGUUAUUAUUCUGAUUGUUCUGUUGUCAUUCUCGUUUGCCUGCUCGGGGUACCUUUGAUUCUUGAUAUACUCCAAGAUAUCAUGGAACCAUGGUCGUCCAUCUGACUCCUCCUCAAUACUAAAACAGUGUUCGAGGGUCUCAUAUAUACUCAUUUGGAUGGGCAUUAUCUCAGUUUCUCUGUUUGCUUUGAACAUCGAAGCCAAGGUGGCUAGGGCAUCAGCCAAUUGGUUCUCCUCUCGUGGAAAGUAGUUAAAAGUCACUUCUUUGAAUUCUUUGACCAAUUUCGCAACAAGAUCGUGGUACUUGACUAAUUUUGGAUCUCUCACUUCCCAAUCCCCACGAAUUUGAUAAAUGACUAAUGCUGAGUCCCCGUGCACUUCUAAGAUUUUGAUUUUCCUCUCGAUAGCUGCACGAAGCCCUAUGAUGCAAGCUUCAUAUUCCGCUAUAUUAUUGGUACAGAAGAAGUUCAAUCUGGCAGUGAGCGGGUAAUGAUCUCCCUCCGGCGAUACUAAGACUGCUCCAAUCCCAUGCCCCAAUACAUUUGAUGCACCAUCAAAGCUCAUUUUCCAUGAUUUCUCUCUUGAUGACUCACCCUCUUUUUCUGAAAUGCAAAUCAAGUCUUCAUCUGGGAAAUCAAAUCUCAAAGGCUCGUAUUCUUCCGCUGUUCGACUUGCCAAGAAGUCAGCUAUCGCACUUCCCUUUAUCGAUUUUUGGCUCAUAUACACGAUGUCAUACUCAGUCAGUAAGAUCUGCCAUCGUGCUAUUCUUCCUGAGAGUGCAGGUGACUCCAUCAUGUACUUUAUUGGAUCCAGUUUUGAAAUUAACCACGUCGUAUGAUAUAACAUGUAUUGUCUGAGCCUUCGAACCGUUCAAAUCAAUGCGCGACAAAACUUCUCAAUUGAAGGGUACUUUACCUCAUAUUCUGUGAACAUUUUGUUGAGGUAGUAAAUCACUUUUUCUCUUUUCCCCGACUCAUCAUGUUGUCCCAGUACGCAACCCAUUGAAUUCUCAAACACGGUCUGGUACAAUAUUAAGGGUUUUCCAGGGGUUGGCGGUACUAGUACCGGAGGAUUAGAUAGAUACUGUUUUAUCUUGUCGAAAGCCACUUGACAUUCCUCGUUCCAUUCUCCCGGAUUAUGUUUUUGAAGAAGUCAAAAAAUUGGAUCACACUGAUUGGUAAGUUGGGCAACGAAUCGAGCAAUGUAAUUCAACCUUCCUAAAAAUCCUCUGACUUCCUUUUGUGUACGCGGAGGUGGCAGUUCUUGUAUAGCUUUCAUAUUAUCUUGAUCAACUUCGAUACCUCUCUCACUGACAAUAAAACCUGACAGUUUUCCCGAGGUAGCCCCAAACGUACAUUUGGCUGGGUUAAGUUUCAACUGGAACUUUAUUAACCUUUCGAACAGCUUCUUGAGAUUCCCAACAUGCUCUUUUUCUCCCCGGGACUUGACAAUCAUAUCAUCGACGUAAACUUCUAUUUCUUUGUGCAUCAUAUCAUGAAAUAACGUCACCAUGGCUCUCUGAUAUGUUGCCCCAUCAUUCUUUAAUCCGAACGGCAUUACCUUGCAGCAAAAGGUCCCCCACAAUGUUAUGAAUGUAGUUUUCUCCAUGUCCUCGGGAGCCAUCUUUAUCUGAUUAUAACCUGAGAAGCCAUCCAUGAAAGAAAACAGAGAAUGUUUUGCCGUAUUAUCCACCAAAGUGUCGAUGUGUGGUAAAUGAAAGUUAUCCUUAGGGCUUGCUUGAUUCAGAUCACGAUAAUCCACGCACAUUCGCAACUUGCCAUCUUUCUUCGGCACUGGGACUAUAUUAGCUACCCAUUUUGGAUAUUUAGAGACUUGUAGGAAGCCAGCAUCAAUUUGUUUCUUGACUUCUUCUUUUAUCUUUAACAGCAUUUCGGGUCUCAUCCUUCUUAAUUUCUGCCGAACGGGCUUGCAUUCUGGUUUCAGUGGGAGCUUAUGAACCACUACAUCCUCAUUCAACCCUGGCAUGUCCUGAUACGACCAGGCGAAUACAUCUUUGUACUCACGGAGCAAGGCGAUCAAAUUCUGUUUGGUGUUAUCUGAAAUGGAAAUAUCAAUAUUCACUUCUUGUUUCUUUUCUUCACUUCCCAAGUUCACUGUCUCAACAGAUUCUUGAUGGGGUAGAAUCUGUUUCUUUUCUUGUUCAACCAUUCUCAAUAAGUCAGGAGGCAAGACACAAUUUUUAGCAUCUUCCUCGGCUUCAAAUUCUUCUAAACAAACAGCCUUCUCAAAAUCGAUUUCAGGACUUGUAACGGGAUUGUUCAUGCCAUGGAUAUCUGAGCACUUGAAAGGCGGAUAGAAAAGACUGCUAUAAGAGAGCAUCAAAGUAUUGGAAUCAACAAACACAAUGUUAUGGAAUGAGAUAUAUGGAGAGAAAGGAUAUGAAGCGAUGAGGGUAAUUAUGAAACUGAUAGAAAUAAAAAGAUCAUGACAAAAUGCAUCUUCAUUAAUGUUCAUUGAAAUGAUAAAGAGCAAACACAAGCUCUUACAAAAGGAAUCCCACUAUUUAGGGGCACACAAAAUAAAUGGAGAAGUAACAUUGGGCAUUACUCUGGAGAGGACUUAGAAACUACAAGAAGGUCCACAGCAGUCCAAUUGUUCAAAACAUAUCUUGGAAGACAGGGGUGUAUCAUUGAAACAUCCUCAAUUGUAUCACUCUCAUUGAAUUCAACAUUCAUAGCCCUAGCCCUUAAAUGUGUUCUAUAAGAAUGACGUGAUUCCAGACUUGUAGUAUCACAACUGUGGAUUUUGCGGUUCUGGCCUUAGUGAAUGAUUAGGGUGAUAUGUACAUGCAAUGAAUGAAUGAAUGAAUGACCAAUGGAUGCUAGUCAUGCGUAAAUAUGCAAAAAAAAUGGUGUUGAUUUCAAGAUAGCCCCAUAUUUUGGCAUUUCAUUUAUCAAAAGAGUCAAUUACAAAAUAUUUUGCCAACGAAGAUGACCCUAGUUCUUGAGUUUCACUGUUUCCAAAUCCUAGUCAAAUCUUCAGGGUUAUUCUGACGAGCAUUCGAAGUCGUCUUCUCGGAAAGAUCAGAGAUAUAUCUUUCCUUUAAAUUGUCCCUUUUACUUUCUCGGCCCUCAAAGACCAGUCUCUGACUACGACAUUUUUCUUGAUUACCUGUGUAAUUUGACUCCUUCAUCAGAAACCCGUUUUUGGCAACCAAUCUCUAAUCAACACCUUCCUAAUGAGAUAUCUACGAUGCAUGAUGAAAAAUAAAAUGAAGAACAAAUAACAUUGGUUAGAGAUCACAACAGAUAUAAACAGAAGGAAAAUAAAAAAUAAAUACUAUGGAAAAUUUAACAAAUUAAGCUAGUCAAUCAGCAAUUUGGUGGAACAGACCCACAUUUUUUUUUGCCCCAACAUGCUUUACAAAAACCUACCCCACAUACCAUCAGACAAUCUACCCGACCCAAUUUAUUAAAUAGACCCAAUUCAUUUGCAAAUAAGUGUAAAUGUAAAAGAAAUAAAAGGUAAGAGGCGUUUCUCCCGUGUACUUAUUUUGGUAACUAUCAAACGGACAGAGGUUCGGCAUGGCUCUAAUUGGGUGGCUCGUACGGUUCNNNNNNNNNNNNNNNNNNNNNNNNNNNNNNNNNNNNNNNNNNNNNNNNNNNNNNNNNNNNNNNNNNNNNNNNNNNNNNNNNNNNNNNNNNNNNNNNNNNNUCUUCUAAAGAAAUACAUAUAACUACACAAUAGAAGUUAAUAUAUAUAUAUAUAUAUAUAUAUAAGCAUAGUCAGGCCAACCAAUGUAGAAAAAAACUAACAUGAUAUCAUCUUUUCUUAUUGCCCAGUAUUUAUUUAGCAAAUAUUGACUGUAACAUUGUCAUGAUUAUUUUUGGACAAGAACAAGGUCAUUUCCACACAGGUAGAAGUGCAGUCCAUGCUCAUAGCUUACAGAAAAAAAAAAUAUUUCAGUAAAGAUUAUGUAGCGACCUAAAAAUUUGGGGUGAGCGCUAAUCGAAAUGAUUGUUGAAAAUUUGAAGACGGUGUUUCGAUUUUAUUUGAAAAAGGAGUCGCCACCGAUCUUUUUUCCUAGGUGUGAUCGGACACCUAAUAAAUUCUCUUUUAGAAGAAGAAUUUAUUUUUUUAAUUUUUCUAAAAAAGAGGUAAUUUUAGGUCUACGUGAAAAUCCAGAGAAAAUUAGGGUUCGGGAGUCGGUUACACGCGAGGAAGGUAUUAGCACCCUCGCGACGCCCAAAAUUGGUAUCUCGUUAAACGCGCGUUGUCUUGCUUUUCAAAAAUACAAGUUCAAUUUAAUAGUUAAUCGCGAUCCGAUCAAAAUACAAAUUUUUUUUAAACACGAAGAUUUUUGAAACAAUUUUUUGAAAAUACGAUUUUUUUAAAACACGAGAAUUUUAGAGACACGAAAAUUCUUAAAAACACGAAUAUUUUUGAAAACACGACAAAUUUUUGAAAACAAUAUUUUUUUUGAAAACGUCGAAAAAUUUUUUGAAAACACGUAGAACUUUUUUUAGAAAAACUAGGUAAAAAAAACUAAAUUUUUUUUUAGAAUUCAAUUUUUGAGNNNNNNNNNNNNNNNNNNNNNNNNNNNNNNNNNNNNNNNNNNNNNNNNNNNNNNNNNNNNNNNNNNNNNNNNNNNNNNNNNNNNNNNNNNNNNNNNNNNNNNNNNNNNNNNNNNNNUUUGAAUAUUUACAAUUUUUAAAAGGACGUAUCGUAUUUAACAUAAACCGGUGAUAUUCACCCAAUAUAGCGAUGAAAUCAUCGAUUUAAUGUUAAAUCGAUUCGUUGCCUUAUUUAUUAAAAUUAAAUUAAAUUAAAUUAAAAACAUAAAUACAAAAAAUAUAAAAGUGCAUAAAAAUACCAAUAAUAUUAAAACGAAAUGACAUAAAAAUACAUGCAUUAAAUUAAAAAUGAAAUAAAUAAAAUUACCGAAAAUGUCUGAAAUACGAGCUUCGCCGAACGGGUUACACAAAUUAAAACCCGUUUUUUCUUUUUUUCUUCUUUUAUCUUCUUUUUUCCUCUCUUUUUCUUUUUUUUUUCUUGACUGGGCUGGCCUGUUGGGCUGCUGCUAGGCCUGGGGGCUGCUGCUGCACUGGGCCUGGGGGCCUGCUGGGCCUGCUGCUGCGCUGGGCCUGCAUUUGGGCUGCUUCUUUCUUCUUCUUUUUUCUGCUUCUUUCUUUCUUUCUUUUUUCUGCUGCUUCUUUUUCUGUUUUGGUUUUUUUUUUUUGGGGCUGGCCUGCUACUGCUGUUGGGUUGUUGGGUGCUGUGGGUCGAGUCAAUUUUGCGGGUCGGGUCGGCCCGAUUUAAAAUAAUUUUUUUUUUCUUUUUUUCUUCUUUCUUCUUCCUCUUUUCUUCUUUCUUUCUUCUUCUUUCUUUCUCUUUUUCUUCCUUUCUUUCUUCCCCGAUCAGGCCCCCCUUCGGGUUGCUUUCGUCGACGGCGACCUACUUCCCACCGACGGCCGACGGUGGCGCUCACGGUGGUCUUCCCUUUCCCCUUUUUUCUCUUUUUCUUUCUUUUUUUUUUCUUUUUGCUUGCUUUGCUUUUUUUUCUUUUUUUCUUGCCUCUUGGUUGUCUUGCUAGGUAUCGGGGCGGCGCGAGUGCGGUGGCGGAUGCGGUGGCGCGGGCACGACGGCGGUGGUGCCCCUUUUUGCUGUUGUUUUUGCUCUCCUUUUUUUUUGCUCAAAAUUUGUUUUUUUUUUUUUUCCUUUGCUUCCUUGCUUCCCCCCUUUUCUUCCUUGCUUUGGGGGUUUUAAAACCCAUUUUAUUUUGAUGUUCUCUUCUUUUUUUGCAGGUUGCAGGUGGGCUAGGGAGGGCUUAGGUCGGCCGCCGCGCGUUGCAGGUGCAACUUGUGUCAGUGGCAGCCAGAGGGACCAAAAUGUAGUGGCAGCAAAACUUUUGGGGCCGAAACGUAAUUUUGAGAAAGUUCAAGGGUCCAAAUGUAAUGUUAAGAAAGUUUAGGGGUCAAAAUGUAAUUUAGAAAAGUUUAGGGGUUGAACUGUAAUUUUGAGAAAUUUUAGGGGUUAAAAUACAAUUUUAGAAAAGUUUAGGGGUCAAAAUGCAAAAAAAAUUAAAAAAUUUUUAAUUUUAAUUUUUUUUUAACGAAAGUUAUUCCCGGAUAAAAUUCAGUGAUUACAGAUUAAAUAGUUGUAUAUGAUAUUGAUAUCAUAGAUAGAUGAAUCGAUUUAAUUUAAGUCGGUUCAACUUAUAAAUACCUUAAUUUUAUAUAAUAUAUAUGUGUAUUUAUAUUAUUAUUUAAGUUCUUGAUUGGGUUAGCGUCACUCUCAACCGGGUCACCAAAUUUACUAGGAAAAUUAUUGAAAUGUUCUUUCGUAAUUAAAAUAAGUUGUAUUAUUCGAAGGUAUUUUUGCCUUUUUAUUUUUAAAAAGUAAAUAAAAAUAUGUGUAUGGUGGUAUUUGAAUCCAAACUAAUUGGGUUAGAAAAAUAUUUAAUUUAUCACUCAACUAAAACCUUUUAUUUUGAUAUUUUUAUAUAUUUUUUAUUUUAUUAUACACACUUUAUUUUAAUACCGUACAUAUUUCAUGUGUUAUUAUGCUUAAUUAGUUUCAAAUCAUGUGUUUCAUUAUUUAUUAUUUGUUAUUUUUAAACACAUAUUUGUACUCUAAUAUUUAUAAAAUAACAUAAUCCUCGAAAAGGAAACAUGCACUUCUAGGUAAGUUAAGUUUUUACCAAAUGACACAUGUUGAUAAUUGACACUUUAGGUGGUUAUUGAUGGCCUUGUAAAGUCUUUCGAUCUUAACAUUAUACAAACCAAAACCUUAGUAUUGCACAAACAAUUAUUUUAGUAUCUUUAGAAUAAUAUGAUUAUCAUAAGUUUAAAAAUAUCUGAUGCGGAAUUGAAAUUGGUCAUUAGAUUUUAUGAAGAAGAACACCCGAUAAAUUGAUUUCUCCCUCUUAACCUUUUUCCCUUAACUACACAAAUAAGGAAAAAAAAUUUAUGUGUUUUGUGUGCAACUCUAAUAAGUAAAGUGGGAUUAAUUUAUAAUGAUAAACUUUUAAUCUGAUCAAGUAACCCAACGAAAUGAUAAAAUUUAAUUUCUAUUAAAGUAAAACUUUUAGGCCCCAUGAUUUUAGAGUUAUUGGGUCCACAUAAUUGGGAUAAAAAUCUUACAUUCUCUCACUUGGCCUAAUGAGAUAAAACAUAAACUUUAAUAGAACAAUUGUUGAGUGCGCAUAAAAAUAAUAUAAAAUUUGUCAUUAAAAUUUGAUUAGGUUGACCUCAUAUAAUGUGGCAGAUGAUUAAUAGAAAAUAAACAUGUUAAAUUGACAAAUUUUGAUAGAAACUGCCAACGAUAAUAAUAACCAAAUUAGAAUUUUUAAAUUGAAAAGGGAGGACUGAAAUUUUAACUUUUAAAGUACAAGAACCCAAUCUCAAAUUAAUUACAAGUACAGGGACUAAUAACACAUGUUAGCUUCUUCUUCUUUUUUAGGUAACAAAAAUAAUCAAUAUAUGACCAACAUGCGGUAGAAAUUUAUUUUAUUUUAUUUUAAAUAUUAAAUUACUUUUAGUUUAAUUAAAAUUUUUAAUUUUUUUUAAUUUAACAAUUGAACCGAGUGAUAAAAUACUUGCAAAUAAAUAUUCUGUGGGCAAAGAUUUAAUCAUUAAAUAUUACAUUUUUAAUUAUUUCAUUUAAGUACGUCGCAUAAAAAUAGUAAAAAGCGAAAGUAUUAAUAUUAUAAUUUUGAGACACCUUACAUGCGAUUCAAUUGUCUAAUCCAAAUGCGCGACUUCACAUUAUGUUGUCAGGGUAACUCAAACUAACUUGAUAUCAUUUUACUAAGUAACAUACAUUCAAACAAAUAAAUCACGUAUAAUUUCAAUUAAAUCAUGUGUACAUGUUUAAUGAAUGUCAAUUGAUCUAGUUUAAAGUAUUUAGGAGUUGUAUAGGAUCAAAUAUAGAGUUGGGAUUCGAAUCCAAACUCAUUUAUCCAAAUUUUAUAGGGGGUUUCGAGACAUGACAUUCAUGUCUCGAGACACUAAUAUAAUAUGGUCUAAAAUGAACAUUUAAAUGCAUUCAAUCACAAAUCAAUUCGUACCUAACUUAAACAAACUUUACACAAUUUCAUAUGCAUCAAUUUAACAAACAAAUAUAUAACCAAAUAUCCAAACAAUUUAACAUCAAGUCACCUCAACCUAAUGUAGUUAAAUAAAUGGCUUAAUACUUAAAACCAUGCAAACUCAUUCAUUACUCAAGCAUUAAAACUCAACAAAAGAAACCUUAUAGGUCCAUAGCUAACCAAAGCAUACCAUAUUGACCAAAACAAUAUUUAACUCGAGCUGAAUUACUGACCUUAAAUGCUUUACAAUUUUGAUCUACUAAAAACCUGUUUGAGAUCUGCGCAUAAAAACAAACACAACUAUACGUUGAGUAUUAAAUACUUAAUGGUGCUAACAUAAUCUGAAUUCAAAUAUAAAACAUUAAGCAAUUUAAUAUACUAAAUAAACAUUUUAUUUAAUAGAUUCAAUAUCAUAAUACUAAGGGCCAGUUCUUCAUUGCUUAACAAAAGCACUUCUGACUCCAAAAGUACUUUUGAAAGAAAAACUGUGAAGAACAAGCUGCUUUUGGCUGAAAUUUUUAGCUUUUUUCUGAAAAGGAGCUGAAAAUGAGAAGCUAAAAAUUUUAGCUUUUACUCUCCCAAAAGCACUUUUUGUGCUUAAUUACUUUUUCACCCCUCCAAUAACAUAGUAUUUUCCUUUUUUUUCUUGGUGCUUAAUUACAAAUGUGUUAAAAUUAUUAAUUAAAAAUAAAAAAUAUUUCUUAAAAUACUAAUUACAAAUAUUUAAUGGUUAUAUUUAAAUAUUUAAAAUAUAGUUUAUAUAUUCUAAUUAAAUUUUAUAAAUAAUUAAUAUUUAUUGCUUAAAAAUAUUUAAAAUUUAUAUUUCAUAUAUUAAAAUAUUAACAAUAAGCUAUAAUAAUUUUUUUAUAUUCUUACUAAAAUAUAAUAAUAUUAACUAAUUUAAAUAUUAUUUAAAUGCAUAUUUGUUACUUGAUAAUAACAUGUCUAAAAUGGACAUUUUAUUUCUCAAAAGCACUUUUUGACAGUAAUACUAAACACUCAAAUUUUAAGCCAAACUUUUCAAAAGCACUCCUCAAAAGCACUUUUCCACAGCACUUUUUAAAAGCAAUGAAGAACUAGCCCUAAGAUGGCAUUCUAGUAUUUCAUUACCCAAUUUCAUAUCGAGCAACAAUCAUCCCGUAACUUUAUACCAUUUCAUUUAUUCACCCUCAGGGUAUUUAAGUGACAUUUACCUAUGCAAUCAAUUUUCUCCUCGUGAGGCAAGUUCCAAUGUCACGAUACCCAAAACAAUAUUGAAAUUGAGAGUCUUGGAGGUCUCGGUGUCAUGAUACCCAUCUUUGGUAUCGCUAUAUCACUGGAGUUGACCUUAAGUUUUUUCACUUCAGCAUUGUUAGGGGUAUUACAACUUUCAUGACCUCAAUGUCGUGAUACCCCGUUCUAAAUGAUAAUUUCCUCGAGUUUGGGCCAUUAUCAACUUCCUACACCAACUCAAUCAUAUCACUAGGUCCCCCAUGGCGCCAUUUGGGUCUUAAUAUGGCAUAAAACUAAUAAAAAUUAUUAAUUAAUAACAAAAACUAAAAAUCGACAAAAGUAAAGAAAAUACACUUAUAUUGCUUGAGAAUAAGCUCCUCGAGUGUAAUGGAAAGCCUAAUUUGACAUAUCAAAUUACGUCAGAUCACUUGUUCAGCACAGGUUCAAACCGUGUUACCCCCUUCCUCUACCCCUAAUAUUGUAUAAAAAAACUAAUUGCUAAUCUUCUAAUGUAGUCUCUGUACUAUAGUACUUAAUAGUUUAUAUAAUUUAAUUACUAAAUAAUUUUAUUUCUAAUUUAUCUUUUAUUUUUUUAAUCUCACACUCGCUUUGUAAUUGCUCGAUCAAAAUUUUGAACAACUCGAUUUAAUAAAUUUGAUCCCACAAUUAACUUUUCCGACAUUGAAAAAAAUCGAAUCAAUACAAUAUUAUAAAAAAAAAUUUUAAGUAUAGGUGUAGUUAGGAGUCCAUGUUUUUUUAUAUUAAUCUAGUUUGAAGAAAAAAUCAAAUAAUAAAAAGUAGCAAAUUUUAAAAAUUUAUUUUCCUAUAAAAAAAGUUGUUAAAUUAAAUUAUUAUCUUGAAUGAUGUUUUGGUAUAAAUUAUGCAUGGGUUCUUUUUAAAUCUAUUUUGAUUUAAAUUUCGUUGUGUGUGGACCAUAUUGAUUUAUAAUAUGUUUGGUUUGUGUUUUGUUUUUUUUUAAAAUAAAUUUGGGCUAAACUGGUGAACGAAAUAUAUCUUUAGAUGCUAAAUAGAAAUUAAAAAUUUAAAUAACCAAAACAAAUAUAUAUAUAUAUAUAUAUAUAUAUAUAAAAAUUCAAGAGCUCAAACAUGAAUAAAGGCUAAUAAAUUUUGUGAUAAUUUUCUCUCACCUAUAGGCAAAUAAUUUCAAAAAAUAAAUUAUUUGAUAUAUUAUUAAUAAAUUUUAAAAUUUUUAUUUAUGAAUUUAAUAAAAUGUUAUAAUUUUUACUAAAAUGAAAUAUAUUAAAAUAAUGUAACAAAAUUCAUAUUUUGAUUUAUUUGUGAAAAUUAAAAAUCUCAUCAAGUUUAUAUAAAAAUGUACUUUUUAUUUUAAAUAAACGAUAGAAUCAUUUGGUUGCACCGAAGUGCCUAUGUGUUGGGUCGGAUAGCACACAAAAUUUUCCUAAAGCUCUUGCCUAAGCAUUAUUUAGGAUGAUGGGCUUUGAUUGAUCUGUUAGCCCAAAAGGUUAUAUUAAUAUAUAUUUUAUAAUUAAAUUUAAAUAUAUUUUUUUAUUUUUAAAUGUGCUUCAGCACACUGAAAUUCACAAUAAUAACAAACGUUAAUUAAAUUAAUUAUUUAAAUACUAACUUUUUAUAAAUAAUGAUUUCGAUUUACAUGUUGAUCUAAGUCAUGCAAAAUGUCUAACGUACCAAUUUAUAUAACCAAAGAAAAUACUUUAAUUUGUAGUGUAAGCUACACCAUUAGUCAAUAAAUUAUUAAUACAUUUUUAUUUUGGUCAUUGAACUACUUAAAAGUUCUCAUUUAAGUCAUUAGACUGUUAAAAUCGAUGCUACAUGGUUUUCUCAAUUCGCAUUGCUUGCGCUAAUCGAAAGCUCUCUUUCUCAUUUUCUUCUACAGUUGAGUUUUUUUUUUAUGAAACAAUUUUGGAUGUUACAAAUCUAAAAAACCAAAAUUUAAACAACUUUUCCCUCCGAUCUCUUACAUUGAUCAUCACAUUGAUCUGGAUCUAAAGUAUGUUCUUUUACUCGUCAAUGGAUAUUGAUCCACAUACUGAUCCUCGAAUUGUUGCUUGAAACUCGCUGGUGGAACUUAAAAAAAAAAACUUAAUAACUUAGUGACUUAAAUAAAAACUCUUGAAUAGUUCAGUGACUUAAAUGAAAAUUUUAAAAUAGUUCAAUGACCAAAUUAUAAUUUUUUAGUUAAGUGACCAAAACAAAAAUUUACCCAUAAUUGUGUAUUUUUCACUAAUUUGUAUCACUAAAUUACUUUAAGGGAUAUUGAGGAGUGACAAUACUUGUUACAGAUAGGCAAAGUUUUCAUCAAAAUUUGAAAAAAAACCUAGUGCAAUAGUUAUAUAAACUUUAGGGUAAAUUACAUCAAUUGUCCCUAAUCUUUAAUUAAAAUUAUAUUUUAGUCACGUAACUUUCAAAAGUUACAUAAUUGUCAUUAAAGUUAUCGAAAUGUUACAUUUUAACCACUCAUCAUUUAACUUUCGUUAAGAAGAUGAUGUGGCACAUUAAUUUAACGGGUUAGUCCCUGAACAAUAAUUAAAAUAUCAAAUUGACACUUUUAAAAUUUUUCUUUAUAAUAAUUCUAAAAAAUUUAAAGGGUAAACUACUCCAAUAGUCACUUAAGUUUUAAUGCGUUCCUAUUUUGGUUACCAGAUUUUUUUUUUUGUUAAUUUAGUCAUUUCCAUUAGAUUAAUUGUCAUUUUUAGUCACUCCAUCGUUAAAAUACAUUAGUCAUUGAACGGAAUGUUGAUGUGGCAAUCUUUUGAUUGGUAUAAUAACAAAUUUAGCCCUUAACACUUUACAUAUUCUGUUUACUUGGUCCUAUGUUGAAAAAAUAAACAAAUUUAACUCAAUGUUUACACAUUUUGUCAAUUUAGUCCAAAUUCAAAAAUUUUAUAAUUUUAAAAACUUGAAAAAAUAUAUAUAAUUUAUUAUAAAAAGACAUAAAACUAAAAAAAUAUUAAAAAAAUAUAUAAAAUUACUUGGUUGGGCUUUGAUUGUAGAUGAAACAAUUUAUACUUUUCUUUGGCUGAUGCAAACUUGGUUUAUAGCAAUGGGGGAAUAGGCUCCGCAAGUGAUGCUCACUGAUCAAAACAAUGCCAUAAAAGUAGUUGUAGCUGCUGUGUUUCCUGCUGCACGACGUUGUUUCUGUGUUAUGGCAUGUCUUGGGUGACUAUCUAAGUAAUUUACCCUUUAAAUUUUUUAGAAAAAGAUUAAAAGUAUCAAUUUGAUAUUAUAGUUAUAGUUCAGGGGCUAAAUUAGUUAUUAACCCUUUAAAUUAACAUGUCGCAUCAUUCUCUUAACGAAAGUUGGGUGAUUUUAAUCAAAUGUGCAGUUUAUCUUAUGUAUAAACACCGUAUUAAUAGAGUUUAAUAAAUAUUGUUUUCGUAUAUGUAGAUUAGAUCGCUCAAUAGUUGAAUAGGUUACAUAGAUGAGGAAGUUAGGUUUGUAUAAAAGAAGAUUGAAAUGAUUCAAUCAUUUUUGUGAAAUAAUAUUGAACAAAUAAAAUUUGAACAUUCAUAAUAUUUUCUCAAAAUUACGAACUUCAUCGCAUAAAAAGAAAACACGAGACUAACGACUGUUUCUCGUUUGUUGACCAAUAUUAUCCGGAAGUAGCUUUCAAAUGCUUAAAAAGUAACAGUGUAUUUUACAAUAUUAUCAGGCUACAUGGCCUCACUUUGUAUUCAAUAUAUAUUAUAAAAGAAAGCAAAGAACAAAAAUACAAAAUAAAUAAAGAAACUUACAUAGUGCUUUAACUUAUUACAAAGGGAUUUGUCUCCUUAGUAUGUUUCUACCAUGGGAGAUCGCCACUUUUAUCCCAACUAUCAGGUUAUCAUUACGUUGCCUUGGAGACAUCCUUACUUGACCUAUUGUACUUCAUAUGGCUCCUAACUAGUUGUCCUGCUGAAAUUGCAGACAUGAGCGACAGCUCCCCGGCAAGAACAGCAGACGCUACAAUGGUUGCUAGCGUCCUAGAGUUUGCCCCCGGUGUCUCUUUGCUUGCACCCUUCACUCCAAGUAAGUUCAAACAGGCUGAUUGAGAUGCAAGCUGAGUUCCACCACCAACAGUCCCAACCUAAAAGAUACAGCAACACAGAUAAUUAGGGACUAACAUAAAUAUCCAGAUUUUGUUUUGGCAACGUAAGUCCCUGUGUUGGAUAAUCAGACAGCAACACUAUCAAUUACCUCGAUGGAAGGCAUUGUGACAGAGAUGUGGAGAUCCUUGCCAUCAUUAACAGCUUCCAUCAUCGUGAUGCAAUGCGAGCUCUCGACGUUUUGAGCCGGAUCUUGGCCGGUAGCUAUGUAGAUUGCAGCAACGAUGUUACUGGCGUGAGCGUUAAAUCCACCCAGAGCUCCAGCCAUAGCUGAUCCAGUAAGGUUCUUCAGCAUGUUAAGCUCAACGAGAGAUUCCACACUUGUCUUCAAGACCUUCCUAACCACAUCACCCUUAAUGGUGGCUUCACAGACAACAGAUUUGCCUCGUCCUUCAAUCCAAUUUACCGCAGCCGGUUUUUUGUCGGAACAAUAGUUUCCUAUAUGCACAAAUUCAUAAAUAUCAGUGAUCCUAUGUCGGACAGUAAAAAGACAUAAUUGCAAGCCUAUACAAAAAAAUGAAACUCACCAGAGAUGCCAAUGACAUCCAUGUCAGGGAAAUCAGUUUGAAGGAAAUCCAAAACGUUUUGCACUCCCUUGGAAACCAUGUUCAUCCCCAUAGCAUCACCUGUACUGCAAGUGAAUCUAAUAUACAGAUUCUUUCCAGCAAUUGCACAUUUGAUACCCUGGAGCCUGCCAAAUCUACUUGAUCUGCAACCACCAAAAAGCCAAAAUUUUCAAUAUUAGCUUGAAUUUUAAAUCAAUCAAUAUGGAGUUCUAGAAAUACACAAACAAACCUGUUGAAAACAACAGACAAGGUCUCGAAAUUAUCAGGGUCCUCCAAAUACAACUUCAAAUCAGCUGCCCUUUUCGCAGUACCGAACCUUACACAUGGAGCUCUUGUCAUACCAUCUUUCAAUAGAACACUUGUAGCUCCACCAGACAAAUGAAUAGCCUUACAGCCCCUAUUAGUGCUAGCCACCAAGCACCCUUCCGUGGUUGCCAUAGGAACCGAGUACUCUCUUCCAUUAACCAACAAAGGCCCGGCAAUUCCAACGGGAAUUUGCACGUAGCCAACCGGCAUCUCACAACACUGCCCUAAAAUCGACUCGUAAUCAAACCCAUCCAAGGGCAAUCCAGAUAACGACUUCCCUGUUAAUCUUUGCAACGCUUCCCGCCUGAUUGCAGCCGCCCUCUUGCAAUCACCCAAUUUCGAUUCCAAGGAAUACGAAGGGGUUGUACCAGCCACUACAGAUUUAAUUAUUUCUUCAUCUUCCUCCGUUAGUACCGUCACAGGCUUUUCAUCGAACACCUUCUGAAUGGUCACGAUUGGUGCCGCAGGAGGCAGAGGUGGAAGCGAACAAUCGAGAGCUUGCCCGCAAGGGACCUUACGGGCUUCUUCCUUUGCAAGCAGAACUUCAUCAUCCUCUUCCUCGUCCUCGGCAAUCCAAACGUCAGGCGAUGGUUGGAAAACCAAAGAUUGAACGAAGUCAAUUCCAAAGAAACCCAAAAGGUAAAUAAAGGACGCGAAAAAUGAGAGAAUGGCGAUGAUCUCGGAAAAGGUGACGACAUGGAGAGGUGUGGAGGUACGGAUCUUCUCACGCCAACGGGAAAGAAGAAAAUAAACCACCGAGAAGAAGAGGGUGAAGAACAGGGCGUUCGUUAGGUACAAGGGAAGCGGCAGUGCGUCGGAGGCUUUACCGGUAUCUUCCUCUAAAGGAAUCUUUUUCGUUGGCUUGAGAGAUUGAACAGGUUUAGUAGAAGAUAGCCGGUGAGCCUCCAUUUUGGGUGUCGACGGUGGCGGAAGCCCGAGACGAACGGAAAUGAGAGACAGCCGACGAUUUCAAUUAGUUUUCAGAGAAGGGUAUGAGUUUGAGAUGGAGAGUUUACGUGGGGAAGGAAGCAUUUAUAGGACAAGAGCAGAAAGCGCGUGUGACGAGGCGCGUGAGGUAAAUGUUUGGCACGUGGUAGUGCAGUUCAUUACAACUUAACAAACAUCAGACGAGUCAAUGUUGUACAGUACAUGAAUAUGUGAAUCUCAUUUUUUUUACCUUAUUUCUAAUUUGGUAUUUCCCAUGCAGUAAACAGUGCUGCUAUUUUGAUAUUUUGCGUCACUUAUUUUUAUUAUUAUUGUCAUAUUAGUCCCUAUACUGUGUCUAAGUUAUGAAUUUAGUUCUUAUAUUUUAAUUUGAUUGAUUUUAAUAUUUAUAUUUUUUGAAUUGAUCAAUUUUUAAAUUUUUAAAAUUUUGCUUCUGUCUCAAACGGUAAUAGUUAAAAUCGUUUUGGUUAAAUUUUGCUAUUAAUCUUGUACCAUGUGCAAAGUUAUAGGUUUAGUCAAUGUUCUGUAAUUUAAAAUUCUAAUCUUGACCCGUUAAUUAACUCGUAUAAAUUUUUGAAAACAAUAUAACUUAAUUUAACGAAUUUUAAAAAUUUAAAAAUAAAAAGACUAAAAAUGGUCAAAUUAAAUAUAAAGAUUAAAGUCACAUGUUACAGCUAGUACAAGAACUAAUUAUAGGAGUUAACCAUUAGUAUACGUCUUUAAUUAUUCUUAUUUUGGGUUGAAAUGGUAAAACUAAUGAGAUUAAUUAUUAUGGUGAAAUAGAUUUUAUAAGAUAAUAAGUUAUGAAAGUAUAUGUUUUAUAUUAAAUUAUGUAUACAAAUUAUCAUUACGGAUACGCAACGUCUGCUCCAACACAAGCUUACAUUUUUUGACAUCUUGUAUCAUUAUUUUACAUUUUUUUUUGUCAUUACAUAUGUACAAAAAAGAGAAUAGGGCACAAUAUUGUAUAAUAUUAAUUAAAUCAUAGAAAAAAGUUAUUAAAUAAAUAAAAAUAAACUCAAAAAAUAUUAAUUGAAUAAGGUUUAAAUCGAAAUGAUAAAAUUAAAAUUUUAAGGAUUUCACUAUUACGGGUUCAAGUCUCAAUAAUUGUUGAUUCAUUUUGAAUUUAUAGAUUUUGUAUGAAAAUACGAAAGGAUAAAAACACCCCAUAAUAAUAGUUUGUUAACUAUUACUCGUUUUAAGUACAACUAGAUUAUGACACACCCAUAAUGUUAUAUGUUAUAUAAAAUAUCUUUAAAAAGCAAAACUCCCACUCUUCAUUAUAAAAAUAACGAUUUUUAGUCAUUUGUCAACUAUGUUGGUGUUUGAUUGACUUGUGACAGUAACUCUACUAACUCAAUCAAAGGUUUAAUUAAUAGUAUAAAUAUACAUGACACCUCUAAAUAAGUUGUUGUAAGACUCAACUGGAUAAUGACUGAAACAUCAUUUCUUUACGGGAUGAAUUAUAUUAUUUGGAGGGUUUUUUUCUUCUUAUAUAAAAAUAGAAAAAAACACAAAAUUUGAACUUAAAAUAUUAUAGUUUUUAACAUCUCAACUUUUUUGAAUCACAAGAUGACUUAAAAAGGGACCUAAGAUGAUACGGAUCGCAAUUGCACUCCAAAUCUCCUCGACUUAGACCUUGAACUAAGGAGUAUCUCCAUCAUAUAAGGAGAAGUGGUGGCCUUGAAAAGUUUUAAUCCAAAUAUGAUUCUUGAAGAAUUUUUUGGUGGAAGAGGUUGUUUUAUAUUAAAUGCAUAGGGGUGAUGCCAUAAUUAUUCAAGGGUUACGAUAAAUUAGGAUUAAACCAUUGCUUAUAUUAUGAGUUUAGCAAUUGAUUUCUUGUUUGAGUAAAGUCACACAGAGGUCCAUGGUGCACCAAAUUGUGUUACAUAUUUGCUCACGUUUCUUUCCAAUAUUGAUUGCUUUGUUCAUAUUGUUAUACUAAUACUUGCGCCAAAGCAUCUAUCCACAUCUCAUGUCACAAGUUGUCACAAUAGACAUGCUAACAAGCAUUGUACUGUUAAACAAGCAGAACUUUGGGCUAUUUAUGAACAACUUUAUCUUGACUUGGGAUAAAGGAUGUGGAUGGGUAUUUAUGAGGCACUAAACUUCAUGGCUGGUUGGUCUACAUGUGUGCGAGAGCCCUACAAGGGGCAUCCGAACUAUCAUCUUACAAGGUGCAUGGGGCCAAACAAUCGAGAGACAAGUUCUUUCUAUUACUACCAAAAAGAAAAAAAAAUGUAUAUGCUGUAUAUAUAGGUUAAAUGAACGUCGGUUUUUCUAAAUAAAGAAUCAAUAUUUGAUCACUUCAUAAUUUCGUAUUUUGUAUUGUGUUGUUAUUUUAUUGUGCUAUAAUUGUAUGUGUUUUCUAUUAUAUAUACUUACAUUAUUUUAUUUUGUAUGAUAUACGUUGCAUUGUGUAAUAUUUUUUUGUUAUAUUUUAGUGUAACGUACCAAAAUUUAAGCAGUUUCCACCAUAGACGAUAAGAUUGAAGGUUUUCCAACAUAAUUAAGCAUGCAUGAUACCACGUGCUAAAGACUUUUGACUGUUUGUCCAAGUUUUCUUCAGAAAAAUAAUAUAAAUCAUAAUGUUACUUUCAUUUUUUUUUUAUGUAUAUAUAUUUAUAAACAUAGUCAGGCCAACCAAAGUAGAAAAAAAUUAACAUGAUAUAUUAUCUUUUUUAUUGCCCAGUAUUUAUUUAGCAAAUAUUGACUGUAAUAUUGUCAUGAUUAGACCAUUAUUUUUAUACCAGUUUGGGUUAGAGUUUAGGCAAAUCUUCCACCUUCAAUUUAAACUCCAUUAAUAAAACUGUGAUUGUGAGGCAAAUAUUUAAGUGUUCACUUACUCAAAACAGUUGGAAGGAAAUUAAGGUCAUUUCCAGGCAGGUAGAAAUUGCAAUCAACAAAUCACAAUCAUAUGUAUUAGGUACAUGUUCAAGGUUCUCUGUUUAAGUCUAAAAGAUUAUUCGAUAUUUUGAUGAAUUUAAACAAAAAUGAUACUUAUAAUUAUAAUGAAUAAAUCCGAAUUUAUGUAUGUAUGCUUAAUGCAUGCACUAUUGUUUUAGAUAUUUGUAUUAUCUUUAUGUCAUAUUCACUUCAAUGUCAUGUCUGCUAUUAUGAUAAGGUGUUAUGGGUGGAACAAUUUAAGUAGAAAGGUUGAAUAGAAAACAAGUGUCUCCCAUUCAUUAAUUAUUCUGAUGAUGAAUUAAAAAGACAUUAUUAUAUUUCCAUUUGCCCCAGUAAUAUUCAUGAAAUGACAUUUAUAUUAAUAGUAAUAACAAGUGAAAGUGAUCAUCUAUUUUAGGGUGGUUAGUUAGUAGACUAAGGCUUGUUAUCUUUUACAUAAUUAUAUUUGAUAUGACUGUGAAAUCAAUAAUGGUUAAAUUAUAGUUUGGUGUGUAGGUGGUUGGAGUUUAAGGGAACUCUCAUUGUGGUGUGUAGCGGCGGGGUAGGAUACUUUCUGUUAAACCGAAACUAUAUUGCAUUUAUAAAGUAUGUGCAUACAAAUUGGAUUUUCUUUGGUGACGUAUAUAUACUUAUGCUAUCGCGAAUUGUUCUCUGUGUUGUACUUCUAUAUACUUAAGCGUUUACACUAAUUUUUAUUGUGAUGGGACUCACACUGAGCUUCAUAGCUCACCCUCUUUUUAUUUCCAUCUUUUUAGAUAACCCACCAGGCUAGGACGCGGACACAACAUCCGGAGGGUCUCAACUCUAUCUUGUUUAUUAAAAUGUUUUAAGUUAUUAUUUGAUAUUUUAUUUUUCCAUAUUAUUUUAUUUUGAACUAUGGCAAGGGACUCAGGUUUUGGUUUUAUUAGCAUGCAUGUCUUUUAAAUUGUUUUUUUUUAAAUGAUGAAUUAUGGAUUAUAAUCAAAUAUGCAUGAAAUAUAGAUUUUAUUAAAACCAAGUUAAAAACUACAUUCCCGAUGCAAGAUUAUAAAUAAAUUUUUUAAUAAAUAAACUAGAAAUUAACUUAAGUUAUUCAAUGAUAAACAUCCUUUACAAGAAAGAUGUUGAACUAAUUGUUUUUUAACUCAUGGAUUUUUAAAAAAAAAUAGAUUAAGUUUUCUUCUAAAAUAAAUAAAUAUUUUAAAUUGACUUUUUUUUUUAAUCUCCUGAACCUGAGUUUAACGUCUAGGCCGAAUUUAGAAAGUUACAUUUUAAAAUUUUAAAAUAUAUAUUAGCAUUUGAUUUAUUUACUGUGCAUAAAAUUAUAUAGCAAGAAAGAAAAUCUAAAAUCAAAUCAUAUGUUAGUUCAAAAAAUAGGCUUAAGGGUGUAAAAAGCUCCAGAUUUUUUUCAAAAAAACAACUAAGCCCUUACUCUUUUUUUUUCCACUCAAUUACGUACUUAAACUGCCAAAACAUAUUAAAAAGACCUUUUAACGGUUAACUAUUAAAGUUAAUGACCCUCAAUUUUUUUUUCAAUUAAAAUUGCCACAUGUCAUAUUAUGGUUGUGACACUUGAUGAAAAAUUAAUAAAAAAUAUUUUUAAAUAUAAAAAAUAUUUAAAUUUUAUUAAAAAUUAGAAAAAGUGUUUCCGUCCCUCUGUUUAAGUUAUUUGCAUGCUCUUUUUAUAAUAGGGGACAAAUUUGGAUACGUGUCUUAAAGUUGAUGAUAUAGCAUCUUGACUUGGCACUCCUGUCAGUUACAGUAGUGUUACAUUUUAGGACGAGGCAUCUUGGGGAAACUAACAAUCUUCGCAUAGCCUUGGUGUGGAAGACUCAUUCUAAGGUUCACAAACAAACUCCGUUGCUUGUGAACUACUCAUGAAUUGGCAACAUUAAUAACUCUAUUAAUGACAUGCGCGCCAAGCUUGUUAUGAAGUUCGCUACUUAUAGUAAAAAUUGAAAUAAUAAGGAAUAUAAGUUUUAUGCGAAGAAAAAAAAUGAAAAAUCUAAAAUUUUAGAGUCUUGAAUAUAAUUAUUUAUAUAUUACUUUCCUUAAAAUUUACAGCAAUCAUAACCAUUGAUUGUUGGAUAAGUAAUCUAGUUUUGAAAAGAAAAAAAGAAAGAUCAAAUAGCAAGUUGAACAAAUUGUUCACUACCUUAAAAUUUUGGUCUCAAGUGGUUGGCUGGCUGGCUUUGCUCAUUCUCUUAUUUAGACUUAGAAAUUUGAAUGCUCAUCAUCUCAAUCACAUGCAUCACUAUUGCUAUAUAUAUUUUACUACUCCAACAUUAUUUUCAUAUUUUUCUAGGUUUUAUAUACAUGAUAGUCAAUGGCAUGCAUAUAUAAGCAAUGAAAAUGAUGCAGACUGUUUUGUCUCAAUUAGCAGACGCCCGAUUGAGAUGGCUUAUGUUACAUCAAAUAUUUAUAUUCCACGCAUGUGACUUUUUCAUGUUUUAUAAUUGAAUUAAAUCGGUCGAACCACAAAUAAAAAAAUUUCAUCGAUGCUUUCUUCAUACACGGAAUUUAGAUUAUUUAGAAAAGAUAUCGAGCUUUUUAUCAUUCUAAAUAUCCACACAUUACACGUAUGGAUUGUUGGUAUCCAAUAUUCAGACAAGGUAAGAUAAAAUUGCAUGCAUUUGAAAGUUUUAUGGUAGGGAGAGUCGUUCUAGGGCAGACGAUCCAACACAAAAGCAUAUAAUAUACAUAUAUUAUUAUUAGAAUAUAUUAGAGGGUUAAGACCGGCGUUACAAAUUUCGUCAUGAUAAAUAAAGUUGGUUAAAACAUCAAUGGUGAUGGUAUAUUAUAAAUAUUGAUCAAGAAAUAUAAUUAUAUAUUUCGUGAUUUUAAUGAUUUAGUUAUUAAAUUUAUUGAUACGACUGUACUUGAUGUGUAAGUAAAUUUUCGAAUCGAUCUAAUAUAAUAUAUAUAUUAAUAUUAAUUUCUAACUAUUUAUUUUAUAUAUAAAAAUUAAAUUGUUUAAUAAGUAUUAAUAUAGGCGCUUAUUUAGAUCGAUAUGAUAGAGGUAUUAAAUCAAUUUGAAACUUUACAUGCACGAAAAGUAAAUUUAUAUCAAUAAAAUCAAUAAUUAAAUUGUUAAAUAUUAAUCAUAUUUUAGUUUUACUAAAUAAAUCUCUUUUCUUAUAUUCCAUUAGGGGAAAAGAAAGGAGUUUUGUUGAGUGUUUGAUGUUGAAAGAAAUUGGCUAACUGUCCAAAACCCAAAUUAACUCUAAAACUUCAUGUUGCAUUAAAUGCAGUAUUCUCCUAACAAAAUCACCGGCUAAUUAUUUUUUUUUACAUGUUUUCUAUAUGCAGUAUUUUUUUUUUUUUGCACUUAAUGAUUAUCGAGAUUUACAUUAAUAUAAUUAUAUUUACGAUAAAUCAUGAGAGGAAGAUAAAACCCUAACAGUAAUGUGAUUAGUUUGACUCGAACCUAGAUCAUAUUUGAAAUAGUGAACACCCUAAUUAUCAUGUCAACUAAUAGAUUAUAUUUUAUGUACGAGCCUUUGGAAUAACUUAGACAUGAAUUUGGUAAAAACAUUGAAAGGAAUUAUUAUAUAUUAUUCGUUUAAUUAGGCACAGCAAAGGUGGCUUAAUAGUGGGUUUAAACCUUCAAAGUUUAACCACAAAAAUCCCAUUCAUAAUUAACAUUCAAUCAAUCAAUUACUUAUUAAUGUUGGCAAAGUUGACUAUUUACUCACAAGCCAAAUAUAUUUGUUUUAUUAUUAUUAUUAUUAUAAUAUUUUAAGGACGUAUUGUAUAUAUUAUAAUAAUUUACAAAAAUUGUAAAAUUGGUAUAAUGGUUGGUAAACACAUAAAUUUGGAUAGUAAAUUUUUGUUAAUUUGUUGCAUGAUUAAAAUUUUAAAAAAUAAAAAUAAAAUUUAUAAUUACUUUUUUUGUUUUGGAUGAAAGUCAAAUCAAGUGUGAAUGGCCUAACAAUACUAGCUUUUUAGCUUCUUGGAUUAAUGGAAUAUUAACUGAAAAGAAAAUAUAAUGGAAAACAAAUUAUUUAUUUAUUUAUUAUUAUAGUUAAAUUUGAAUUAAAUUUUCAUAUAUUAUACAUGAAUUUUGGUGUUAAAAGGUGGAAAUUUCGGGGAUAUUUUUAAUUAAUUUUGAUGAUGAAAAAUGAAUUAAAUUUGGGUUUUGCUUCUUUAUCUACUUUCUCGGCCAUUUGUUUAACCUUUUUAUUAUUAUUUUUAUUUUGCAGAGUCUUAAUUAAUUGUUCAACUUGACUUCGUUGUUAUGGAAUUUUUAGUCCAAGGAAGAGGCAACUAUGGCAAGCUGUUAUAAAAUCAUGAAAAUAGUAAGAAUUUAGAGUGAUAUACUGCAUGACUGAUGGGAAAAUAAUUAGGGAAAUUUUGUCGGCUUUUGACUUCAAAAAAACAAUUUACAUCCAAAAUUACUAAUCAUUUCAUUUAUCUUCAAAAAGUUAUAAAAUGAUCAUUGAACUGAUCGAAAGUUUUCAUUUAAGUCACUAGGUUGCUAAGGUUUUUUUUUUUUUUUUAAGUCUAACUAGUGAGCUCCCUGUAACAAUUCGAUGAUCUGUACGAUAGAUCAGUACUCAUCGACAAGUAGAAUAAUAUAUCUUAAAUCCAAGUCGAUCUAAUGUUUAGUGUUAAAAAUCAGAGAAGAAAGUUGUUUAGAUUUUGGUUCGUGGAUUUGUACCAUUCAAAAUUGUUUUAUGAAAAAAAAAUUCAACUUUAAAAGAGAAAGGGAAUGUGAACCGCCCAAUGAUUUUAAUGAAACAUUUCGACUAGUUUAAUGACCUUGGAUGUAAUUUAAUUAGUGUCUUGUUUGAGUUGUAUAGUUAUGAGCUAGCAAAAAUGUUUGCUUAGGCAUGAUGCGAUUUGGAAGAUCAAAAGGUGAGUUAAGGAGCAUCAAAAACUUGACGCUUCAAUCAUAUUCGAUAACUAAGUCCAUUCGCAAACUAAAGAAACUUACAAGGAAAGUUUUAAAGAAGGAGACGAUGGAAUGAGUUGAGAUCGCAACCGGUUGGAUAUCUGUCUAAAAUUCUAAGUCCACAAAUUAUUUGAUUUUUAAUAUCCAAAUCCGAAUUAAAUAUCAUUAUCCAUCGAAUAUGAUAUUUGACUCCGCAUUAGUUACAAAGAUUCAAACACAUGUAGUUUCUCUUAAAUUUUAUUCUUUUGUAUUCAUAAACUUAACUUUAUAAUAAGUUAGAUAUCCUAAUUUAAAUCUGCAAAUUUCGAAUCAGAUAUCCUAAUCUAAAUCUACAAGUUAGAUAUCCUAUGCAUUAUAUUAAUCUAUUUUAUGUUUUUAUAAGUUCGUUCAUAUUUAUAAAUAACUAAUUGAAUUCUAUUUUAGAUCAGUUUAUAUUAUACUUUUAAAACUUUAAAUAAAUUUUAAAUUUGGUACAUAAUAGCUUUUUAUUAAAUUUUUUGAAAGAAAUUUAUUAAAAUUUUAGGCUAAAAGGGUAUAUAAACCCUUAAACGUUUCCAAAAAAUCAAUCAAGUCCCUAUACUUUUGUUUUCACUCAGUUGAUCCCCCUAACUUUAAGAUUACAAUAAAUUAAGCCCUUUGAUCCUUAAAGGGUAACAACUAUUGUUUUGGGGGUUGUUUUUACCAUAUGGCAUGCUAAGAUUGUGCCAUGUGGUGAAAUCUAGCGUUUAAUACUUAAAAUCAUUAAAAAUUAUAAAAAAAGAUUAUAGGAAUCAUACAAAUUAUAAAAAUUACAAAAUAAUUAAAAUACUAAAAAUUAAAAAAACUAUAAAAGUGAAAAAAAUUAUAAAAAUCAUUAUAAAUGACUCAAAAACUAUAAAAAUUAUUAUAAUAAAAAAUUUAAAAUUUUAUAUGAAUUAAAAAAAUAAAAAUAUAUAUGGAAAUUUUUAAAAUAUAAAAAAUUAUUAAAAUUAUUAUAAAAAUAUAGAAAAGUGCAAAAAAUUAUAAAAAAAAUUAUUACAAAAUUUUCAAAAUAAUAGAAAAUUACAAAUAUAUAUAAAAUUACAAUAAGGAAUAAGGAUAAUUAAAAAUACAACCUCGGUUGUCACUUGCAUCCUUAACAUAUUUCCCUACUUUAAUUUGCAUCUCAAAACACUUCUUUGUCAUUGAUGAUGGACAAAGGGGGUGCAAGCUUUGGGGAGGUUUGUAAUAGAUGAGCACAACAGGUAACUUCAAGGAUCAAAUGAUGGUUAGUGCAAAUGAAAAAAAUGUUUUUUAUAUUUUUAGUUUGUUUUAUAAUUUUUAUGAUUUUUAUAUUAUUUUGUAAAUUUUAUUAUUUUUAAAUAUUUUUCAUAAUUUUUAAUUUUUUAAUUUUUGUAAUUCAUUUAAUUUUUUCUAUAUUUUACAUUAUUUUUUUGUUAUGAAUGUUUUAUUAGGUGGAUGUCCAUUAAGAUCUAGAGCAUAUCAUUCUAAUAAUCAUUAGAAGUAGAGUUCUAUUUCAUUUAUACUUCUUAUAUCUAUAAAUAUAAAUUUUGGAGAAGCAUUGUAAAUAUUCCGAUUGAUCAAUAUAAUAUGCUCUCUCUUUGGUGUCCUAUUUUUUUUUGUUAUUUACUUUCUGUAUUUUUAUUUUAUAACACGCUAUCAGCACGAUUCUCUUUUAUUUUAUAAUCCGGUCGCUCCAAAUCUAUUGCUAACGUUGUUGUCAAUGACCUUCUAGAGCUAUUGCAAUUUCAGUAUUCAAUUAAGGCCUGUGCAUUAUGGGUAAUCAUUAUCCAAAGAAAUUUAUAUAAUCCUUACGUGGGUGAUGACGAUGAUGUUAAAGAUCUUCAAGUAUAUAUAUAUUUUACUAUGAUUUAUUUAUUAUAUCAUAUUUAUUAUAAUUGGAGACUAAUCAGAACAACAUGAAUAGAUAGAUUCUGAUUUGAAAUCCAAGUAUAUUUGCAAUGGUAAUUAUGAAAUAAAGAAUCAAUGGAGGCGUUUAGAAGUUUGUCCUACUAUAUUUGUUGCAUUCCUCGAAGUGAAUGCAAACAUAAAGAAAAUAAAAGAUAUAAUCAUGAACCACUAAAAGUGAGAACAUAGUAAUAAAUAAGAGAACAAUGAGAGUUCUCAAGAUAACUUUUUAAAGAGUAAAAAUAACUUAUGUUAUCAAUGUGAUAUGAAAUAUUAUUGGUCACAUAUGUGGCGUAUGCCCAAAUAAUUUGUUAUUCUUUGAGAAAGGAUAUGAGAAUGUAGUAAUAAAUUCUACCAUUACAGAUAGAAAAUAUUUAUCUUAUUUGGUACUGAAACAAACAAAUAUUAUUCAAUAUUUGAUAGUACAAAAUUAGUUGAAAGCUCCAGAAGAGCAAAUUUAUUAAUAUCUAAAAAACACAAAAUUUGUGAUGUUAACGCAUUAGUUUUAAAAGAUAUUCAUUAUAAUGGAUAUCAUAUUGAGAUUGUGAAUGAAGGAAAGAUUAUAUUUCAUAUGAAUCACUAUUGCUAUAAAUAUCUAUUUUGAAAGGAUGAAAAAAGGAAGGAUUAAGUUAUUGAUUACUCUUGUUAUUAAAUUGAAUUGACUCUGGCUAUUUUUGUGAUAUUCUUUUGUCAUCAUCCUCUUUAAGGGGUUGAAAGCAAAAUAUUUUACUGUGAAAGAUCUACUUAUGAGCAAUAAAAUAUAGUAAAUCUAUCUAAAGCUCGUUAUGGUUGGAUGCACCUGAAGUUGCAAAUUUUUUUUUAAAACUCUGAGUAUAACUCUACAAUAUUUAGAAUAAAUUCUCAAUCAAAAUUAUGUGGAAAAAUAUUACUGAAAAAACUUAUGUAUGAAAAUUCAUUGGUUAUAUACAUGUUAUACACCUAGAAAAUAAGAUCUACUCUCAAAGUUUGUUAUUAAUAGAUUUUGAUUAGAUUCAAAGUUUACUACUGGAGCUUGAUAAAAAUCUUCAAGACUCAACGCAGAAAAAAAUGUACAUCUUUAAAUAUUAAAUCAACUUGAUAUAUGGUUUAAAUAUUUGAGAUUGUCUUCUUUUUUAUUACAUGGGUUACAUAUUAUUUUAAACAUAUCAUUUGUUCAUGAAAAUGAAUAUUAACUAAUUUAUUUAUAUCGCUAUAAUUAAAUAAUAUAUUUGCUUAAAACAUACCUAGUAUGCAGAUUUGUGUUAAUAAACCAAUAAAAUUUAUGGUUAUUCAGAUUUGAUUUAGUUCAAAGAAUUCCGUGUGUUAUUUUUUUUAGAUAAUUUUAAAAAAAUAUAUUUUAUGAUAAUAAAUUAAAAAUAGUUAAAAGGAGAACAGAGAAAGGAAUUACAAAUUGAAAGAAAGAAAUGUUGGGAAAACAUGAAUAUUUUGUAAAAUUUGAAUCUUCGGAUGUCAAAUUCCAGGUUCGAAGUUCCGUUUGGGUUUUUGCGUUGAAAUUUCAGACAGUAAAGCCUAUGGUUUGCGAAAUCCAUGGUUUUUGGGUCCGAAUCAAUGAAGUCAUUAGUUUUCUCCAUAUUUUAAUCAUAUAAUUUUUAAAAAAAAUUAAAUGUUUAUUUAAAAGUUAUAAAAUCUAGUUCAAUCGAAUUUUUAUUUUGAUUCAUACCGAUUGCGGAUCAAUUGAUUCUCUUAGUCUAAAUUGAUGUAUCAGUCAAUCUUCGAUUUGAUUAGUUUGGCAUAUCAAUCUAGUCCGAUUUUAAUAACAUUGAAAAUUUUUGAGAAGAUAAAAGGAGAAUAACAAAUGAUGAAGGUUAAAAUACGUUAUAAGUCUUUGAGCUCUUCACAAACUUGGAUUUAGUCGUUGUACUUUUGCUUUUAGGAAUUUAGUCUAUUUAUUUUCAUAUUUUAAAAUUUAGGUUAAAUAGUUAACACUGUUAAUUUUUUUUGUUAAAUUUAUUGGUGUGACAUUUUGACAUAAAAAAAAUUCAAUUAAUAGUUAUAUAAUUAAAAAUGAUGUAAUUAACUUGAAUUUAACAAAAUAAAUUUCAUAUUGAUAACAGUUACGCAAAAACUUUGAAAUAUGAAAAAAAAUAAAAAGAUUAAAUUUCUUACAAUUAAAUCAAAAUUAAAAAUUAAAAAAAUUAAAUUCCCAAAAAUAACGAUGGACAUAUUUUAACUAAAAUUAAAAUAAAAAGAGGAAUUUUAAAGUUUGAGCGCCAACCCAAAUUUGACCCGAAAUGAUGAGCCUUUCGGGUUGAUCUUGGGAGCCUCGAAACUUCACUCUUUCUAGUUGUUUUUUUUUUUUUUUUUGAAAAAAUUAUUCCUUUAAUUCAUUAUUUGAUUUAGUAUUUAUACUUAAUAUUUUAUUUUUAUUUUUGACUAAAAUUUAUGAUUUGUAAUUAUAUAUUCUUCUGGUAGUGAGUUGUGCUGAACAUUUUGCAAAAAAAAAGAAGGUGAGCCCCUACAAAGUAUUAGAGAGUUAAUCAAUAAAAAGUGUGAUGUAGAAGUAGGCAGCGGCAAAUUCGGGCCCUCAAAAAUGAAAAAUUAACCUUUUAAUCCCUUCACAAAAUUUAAAAUUAAAAGUUAAAGUACCGCAGAAAUUUUUUUAAUAAUAAUGAAUUAGAGGUGUUCAUAGACCGGGUCGAGGCCAACCAAAAUCUUAGGCCCGUUUGCCCGAGCAGCUGAAAAAAUGGGUAUAAAUUUUGCCCAAACCUAACCCGGCCCGCCCGUAUUAAAGUUUUUUAUAUUAUUUUAUAUAUAUAUUUUUUAUAAAAAAAUAUAGUACAUCAAAAAUACUAAAAAUAUUAAAAUAAAUAUUUCUCAACAAAUUAAAAAUAAGUUAAAAAUAUGUUUACUUAAAUAACACUAAGAUAUGUGCAACUUAACAAAUAAAUACCUCUAAAAUAGUAACAAAAUUAAUAAUAAAACAAGAGUUAUAUAAUAUACAACCAAUAAUAGUAAAAUAAUAGCAACAUAAUAGCAAAAUGGUAACAAAAUAGUGAGAAAACAACAAGAAAAUAAUAGCAAAACAAAUUUUUUUUGUUGCAAAUUCAGUCUGGGCCAGACUCGGGCAAAAAAGCCUUAUCUGAGGCUCAGCCGUUUUCUAAACAGACCUUUUUUUUUUUGCCCUAUCCCAUUUUUCGAGCCUAUAUUUUUACCCUAAACCUUUCCACUUUUUAAAUGGGUCUUUAAGCCGAACUAGAUUAUCCGACCCAUGAACAGAUCUAUAAUGAACUCAUAAAUUGAUACAUAAUAAAAUUUAAUUUCUACCCCUAAAAUCAUAAAUUGCAACUACUUUGGCGGCUAUUAUUUGCAUGAAGAAGUAGAAGAGGGGAUUGAUUAAUUGAUCCUUUGUGUUGGCCCAACAAGGUAAGUCAGAUUGAAUGUCAUGUGAUGGCCAUUUUGCUGGCUUUACACUUAAGGUUGCAUCACAUACUAUUCACUACAAGAAAUUAAGGUUUUAGCGGCAUUUUUAGUGGCGAUUGGACGAAAAAAGCCGCAAAUAUUAUACAUUAGUGCCGCUAAUAGAAAAAAGCCGCAAUAGGUAAAGUAGUAGCAGCGUUUAUGAGAAAAACGCCGCAAAAUGUCAAGCAGUAACGACGUUUAUGAGAAAAACGCCGCAAAAGGUCAAGCAAUAGCAGCGUUUUUACAAACACCGCAAAGUAUCAUUUUAUUUUAAACGAAAAGGUGUUGUUUUGCUCUGCUAAAAAUCCUUUGUUUUUUCCCUAAACCAUAACCUCAAAAUCCUUUUUUUCCCCAAAUCAAAAUCCCCAAAUCGAAAUCUCAAAAUCCCUUUGAUUUUCCCCGACUGUCUGCUGCAUCGCCGUCAAUUGUCCUCUAUGUUGCAUCGUCGUCGACACUCCUCUGCCACAUCGCCGUUGACACUCCUCUGUCGCAUCACCGUGUAAGUUUUUUUCGUUUGUUUGUGAUUAUUGUUAUUAAGCUGCAAGAUUUAAUGAAUGCUUAGCCCUAAAAUUGCAUGUUCUCUGAUGACAAUAAUUUGCUUUUAAAUCAAGUAAAUGUUAUCUGUUAAGGGAACAAGAAAAAGUAGAUGUUAUCUGUUAUAUAGAGUAUCUGAGCAAAAAGCACUCAUUUAUCUUCUUUGAUUUGGUAAGCUAUAAAUAUGGCUUUUAUAGGAUACAAUUCUCUGGCUUUGUAGGUGAUUACUACUUGCUUUUUUUUUAUACAUCAAUAAUAGAAUCAAUUAGAAGGAUUACAAUUUUGAAACUAUUUCUUGCCAUUGUCUUAUUUCUUCAUAAAUGAUUUGGAAGUGGAUUAGAAAAAAUAAAAAAAAAGAUUUGUUUGAUCCACUGUUAAGGGAGUUUAGUUUUUCCAUGGGAUCUGCACAUUGAUAUGCUUCUUAGGGUAUAUUUUAAAAAAAAUAAAAUUAAAGAACAAACUAAUUUAAAAAAAUAUGAUAUUCGUAUGAUUUAAAAUGUUUAUGUAUAUAAAAUAUUUGGCCCUGAAGUUCACUUGGGUAUUUGUAAUUUUUUUUCAUUCAUAUUGGUACUUGCAAUUAACUUGGAAAAUAUAAAAUUUUGCAUUUAACUUGGAAAAUAUAAAAAUUUGGAGAUUUGGAAAUUAAAAAAUUUAUAUAAAUUUGGUGAAGUUAGUCGAGAGUUGAUUUUGAUACCAUUGAUCAGAUCACUGCUUUUCUCAAACCAAUGAUUCAAUAUGGACCAAAUUUGCAAAUUCUCACGUAAAAUACAGAUAAUAUAAGUUUGGAGACAAAGAUUAGAAAGUAAGUUAAAUGCAAGUUUUAAAAUUGAAAAAGGAAAAGCUUAUUUAUAUCAUGUAUCAUUCUGUUUUGUUUAUAUUUGCAUAUAAUCAACAUUCUUUCAUAUGUUAUAUAAACUAAAGUCAUAUCCCUGUGUAUCAGUGGUCGAAAAAUCACAUCAAAUGGCCAAUGAGAUCUUGAUCAGGUUGUUGGAAGGAUCGUGGUUGCGCCUUGAGAAAUUAAGUAAAUGCUUUCCUAUGGCUAAAAAUUAGUUUUUGUUUGAAAGAGGAAGGUUUCAAGAGGUAGUGUAUAACACCCCUAACCCAUAUCCGUCGCCGAAAUAGGGUUACGGAGCAUUAUCGAAGUUUACAAAUUAAAUUGACAGAUAUUUCAUAUCAUAUUACAUUUACGUCAGAAACCAAUCAAAAUCAAACAUAUUGUCCCUUAUACGAGCUAUCAAAAAUAUGCAUUAGAAACAAGUUGGGACUAAAUUGAGUACUCAAAGAAUUUUUUUUCAGAAAACACUGAAAUUUUUCAAAGUUGCAGGGGACACACGGCAGUGUGGCCAAGCUGUGUGACUCACACGGUCAAAAGACACGCCCGUGUCUCAGGCCGUGUGGGCAUUCGAAAUAGGGACACACUGCCGUAUCCAGCCCGUGCCCAUACCCGUGUAACUCUCUAACUUGGGUCACACGGCCAAGUCACACGCCCGUGUGCUAGGCCGUGUGAGCAUAUUGACUUGCGUAAUUUAAAAAAAUACAGGGGACACACGGCCAUGUCACCUGGCCUUGUGUCACACACGGCUGAGACACAUGCCCGUGUCUCUGCCCGUGUGGAUGAAAAUAGGCCAUUUUACAAGCCAUAUUUCUCACCCAAUUUAUUGUCAACCUACCAUCAUCAUUAUGCAUAUUCAACUACUAUUUUACCUUUCAUCAUUCAACCACUAAUCAAUUCACACAUCAACAUUAUAAGGCAAUUUAUGCACUUACCAAAAUACCAAAAUACAAGCCAAAUAAGUGGCUAGUCCCAACAAAACACAUAUAAGCCAACAUUUAGCCAAAAUAACCUAAACAUGUCAUUAUAACCAAAAUCAAACAUUCAGAAAUAUCGAUAGAACCGAUGGAUAGUGUGAUAUAUCUAUGAUAAGCUUUCAACCCAAUCAAGCUUCCGAUAAUCUGAAAAAUAAAGGAAAACAAAUACGUAAGCAAUGAUUACUUAGUAAGCUCGUAUAAACUUUAAUCGUAUCAAUUCAUUUCAUUAUGAAAUUUAUAAUUAUCAAGAAUAAACAUUUAUUGAUACCACACCAUUCAAGAAACCAUAUUUAACAACUCACAAAAUGAGUAAAUCCACAGCAUCACUUCUACAUAUUAUUUCUAGUAUAGUAGAGUUUUAAACAACUUUAUACUCUUCCAAAUUCCUUUAUUAUCAUUUGCACUUCUUUACUUUCCACACCCAUUCCAUAGGCGUAACACACAAGUCAUAAACAUAUCAUACCUCCAUAACCACAAGCUAGUGCAUUUAAACAUAGCCCUUUUUCAAAUUAAUCAUAUGAGAAGCCAUUUUAUAAGAAAUUGCAUAAUUUAAAACUUACCAUUCUUUCAUGAGCACAAGCAUAUUUUCAUUUGAGCACUUACCAUUUUAAUGCAUCUUAUAAUUAAACAUAUUUCCAUUCAACCAAUAGCUUGGCACUUGCCUAAGCAUCAGACAAUAACACUUGUUAACGUUAUUGAACAUAUUUCAUAUAAAUUCAAUAUCGAUAACCUUAUUAUCUCAACAUAUCACACUUGAGUUUAUUAUUCGUCUCAACUUACAUAAUUUUCAUGUAUCAACAUAUCAAGAUAUUCAUAUAUAUAUAUCAUAAUACACAUCAUUCUCUUAUCGUUUCUUCAUAUACAGUUAUCAUCCAAGACAACUCCCGAGAUUUUUCCAUUCGAAGAACGACUUACAAAUAAGAGUACAUUGUUAACAGAAGCUCAUAAGAGCUGAACAGAAGCUCGUAAGAGCUGAAUAGAAACUCAUAAGAGUUGAACAGAAGCUCGUAAGAGCUUAACAAAAACUCAUAACAGUUGAACAGAAGCUCGAAAGAGCUGAAUAGAAGCUCGUAAGAGCUGAACAGAGAAUCGUAAGAGCUGAACAGAAAGUAAAACACGAGAGUUCACAAAAAAUGCUGAACCCCAGUUUACUUGGGUAAUUUAUCGAUAUCUUCCUCCAAUACCAUCAUAUGCCAAAUCACGAAUGUACUCAAAUCCUUCAUUCAAAUCAGACUGAAUAUCUAAUUCAAUAUUAUGGUUCGAACAUUAAAUUACUUCUAGCAAUAGAAUAUAUGCAUAAUACCAAUCAUCAAUUUAUACAAAAAUAAAUUUUAACUGUACGAACUUACCUUGCUAAAUUGCAGAAUUACCAAGAUUUAGGGGCAUGUUGGUAAUUUUCUAUUUUCCUCAAAUUUCUACUCGAUCUUGAUCUAAAUUAAUAAUUUCAUUCAAUAUUUUAAUUUAGACAAUAAAAAAAUUCAUUUCAAGUAAUUUGGUCAUUUUUUUAUAUUUUUAUAAAAUUACCCCUAAAUUUUUACUUUUAUUCAAUUUAGUCCUUGAGUCCAAAACAUGCAAAUUCACCAUUUUUAAUGCAAACCCAUGCUAGCUGAAUACUCGUGGAAUUCAAUACAGCCCAUUUUUGCAAUAAUUUCAUAAUAAACACUUGUAUUUUUACCUUUUCACAAUUUAAUCCUAAAAUUAAUAUUUAACAAAAUAGCUUUAUAAAAUCAUCAUACAAUAAAAUUAAAGCUCUAAAUCCAAGUUAUUCAUUAGAAACAUCUAAUAUUCAUCAAUGGUCACUUCCAAAAUUUUUAAUAAAAUAAAAAACUAAGGUAAAAUUUAGUUGGACCUAAUUGUAACAAUCUCAAAAACAUAAAAAUUACAAGAAACGAGUAAGAAUUGGGCUCACAUGAAGCAAAGAUAUAAUGGUUUAAUUCGUUGUUUGUAAUGAAAAUAAUGUUAAGUUAUGUUGCAUUUGUUUUGAUUAUAUAUUUCGUUUCUAACUCUUUGAUUGAUUUAUUAGGAGAAACUAAAGGAUAAAAGGGCGGAGUAUGAAGCGAUCGCUUCGAGUGAUAGUUCUAUUAAUCUUGAUGACAUUGAUAACCGAAUUAUUACUGAAUUUUUGGGUCCUGAUAGGUAUGGUCGGGUUCGAUUUCAAGGAUCUUUUGUUAACCCAACCCAAUAUUUUGGAUCCAGCUCGCAGCAAUACAUGCCUUUGGGGAAUCAGGCUCAAGCUGAAGUUCAGAGGUUAAGAGACCAGAUGGCUCAGAUGCAAGCGAGCACAGUUGAGCAAAUUGAUCAACUUAAAGCGAAGGCAGCAUCGAGAGAAGCAGAUGCUCAAAGAAAAUAUGAAGAACUUCAGCUAUAACUUAAAGCAGAGUCAACAGUGAGGGAAGUAGAGGCAAGCAGAAAAUAUGACGAACUCCAGCUACAACUUAAGAAUAUGAUGAAGAUGUUUCAGUAGCCGCAGAAUUCGUCAUCUUAGACUUUUGCUUUCUUAUUAUGAGAAUAUUUUAACAAUAUAACUUUUAAAUAUAAUAAAUUUUGUUAUUUCAUUUAUUAAUUUAGAUCAUAUACAUAUUUCUUUCGUUGGAUUUGAAGUAUCAUUUAGAUUUGCAGUUUUUGGUUCGAUUUGAUGUUACAGGAAAUUAUGUUUGACAAUUCGGCUUCUAUAUGAAUGAAAAUGGGUUGUUAACAUGACUUUUAGCGGCGUUUUUUGGGAAAAGCAUCGCUAAAGGUCAUGUUCUUUAGUGGCGUUUGUUGGGAAAGCGCCGCUAAAGGUCAUAUUGUUUAGUGGCAUUUGUGGGGAAAGCAUCACUAAAGGCCAUGUUCUUUAGCAGCAUUUAUGGGGAAAACGCCGCUAAAGGUCAUGUUCUAUAGCGGUGUUUUUGGGGAAAGCGCCGCUAAAGGUCAUGUUCUUAGCGGCGUUUUUGAGAAAAGCGCUGUUAAAAGUCAUGUUCUAAAAAAAGCAGCAAAAUUUAGCAGCAUUUUUUGCGGUACUUAUCAAAACGCCACAAAUAGUUUUAGCGAUGCUUAUAAGCGCCGCUAUAGGCCCAAAAAGACACCGCUAAAAAUCUUUUUUUGCUGAUUUCACAUAUAUUGUUUCAAGAUUUAUCCCUUUUGAAUUUUUAUAUGGUGCAUAAAUUAAGUAAAAUGCUAGUUAAAACGUAUAAAAACUUAUCAAAUGGAAAUAUGUAUUAAAAAUCCACUCACUUUCCUUUUUUUUUUAGGGAUAAAUCUCAAAAUUAUAUAUGAACUUUGAUUUAUCCCUAAAGUCUAAUAUACAAUUAUUGGCCUUUUUUUAGUUCACAACAAUCAUAAUACGUGCUCUAAAUUCAUUUGUACAUUUGUAAAGUGAAUUAAAUAAUGAAAUUAAUACCAUAAUCAUUCACAAGACUAUUUAAAAAAUUAUCUUAAGUUUAACCAUUAAGUUUUACAAACUAUUUUUUUUAAAAAAUUAGAAGUAUGCUUAUAAUUAUAAUUAUUAUAUUUGAGGAUUGAUCUACUUACACUAAUAUAAAAAUAAAGCUACACUUUCAUGACUUUUUUUUUUACGGAACACUUCCAUAAUUUUAACUUUUUGUAUAAUUAUAUUUAAUUCUUUUUAAUAACACAAUAAUAACAGGUUAAAUGAACUGGUCCUUCUAUUAUUCUAUUAGCACUAUUUCUUUAAAUAUAAGUUUUUUUUCCAUUUAACUUAAUUUAUAUAAAAUGGGUUUUAUACCAAAAAAAAAUUCAACCCGAAAUAACUUAACACCAAAUUCAACUGAAUUUAUGUGAGCUGAUAAUAACAAAAAUUAGAAUAUAUUUUAUUUUUAAGUCAUGAUUUUUAUAACAAUUAAUUCAAGCAGCCUUCCACUGGAAGAAUCUGAGUAUAAUAGUAGUUUGUUUGGCAUGACAAAGAAGAAAAUUUACUAAAAAGAAUGUAGAGGUCAAAGGCAACUAGUGUAGUCAAUAUUUCCCACCUACCAAUGGCCAAGACUUUUUUUUUGCUGAAAAAGAAAUUCGAUGAGUUUCAAAUAUGAGAAUAAUCUUUUCUUUUUUUAACCUAAAUAUGAGAAUAAUCAAAAUACAGGGUAACAGCAUUUUACGUUAUUUAAUCGUGUUUAUUAUAUUCUGUAUAUUUAAUAAAUAUGAGAUGUUGUGUGGCGGUUGAUCACUUCAUUCUUUAAUUAUGAAGUUGGGGUUUGAUUUUCGUCCAUGGGAACGGAGUAUAUUUCUUGAUUAGUCGCUUAUCUUUUUGGAGAAUAUUCACGACAAAAAGGAUUAACCAUUGUUACCGGGUAUUAUUAUAAGUUAAUGGAGCACCAUGGAAUGAAACACAUUUCAUGACUAACCGUGUACCUCUUUAAAAACCACCUAUGACGAAGGGAUUAGUCAUUGCUAUAAAUUAAUAGAGUACCAAAUUAAUUGGAUAAGAAAGGAAUUAGAAAAUAUAUAUAAAUGAUGAGAUUUAAAUCAAAGAUAUCGUAAUUUUUAAUCUUUAUUUUAUCAUUUCAAUUGAUGUCUCAUUUAUUUUUUUAAUAUCAAUUUUUUAUUAUACAUUUGUGGUAUAAUUCUGUUUUUCACCCCCACAUUAUAGAGUUCCACCUAAUGAAAGUUUGUGCUUUAAUAAUAGUCCACUCUAUUUUCUCUAAAAAUAGUGACAGCUUUAAUUUUAACCUAUUAUGUUUUCUUUAAAAAUUAUCGUAGUUAUUGUCUAACACAUAUUUUUUAAAAAUAUUGGUGGUUUUUAUUUUUGUUUUUGUUUCUACUCGUGUUUUGAUAUAUACAUAGAUUUGUAAAAAAAAAAAAGGUGUCGCUAUAUCUAUUGAAAACUAUUCUUAGAGAACCUCACAGGACAGAGCAUUGUGAUGGUACUCAUAAAAUUAGACUUCAAGAUGUUCAGGAGGAGCAUAAACUAUUUGAGAUUUGGUUUUUCAUGCAUCACUAAUGUAAUGGGUCUUUUAACAGUUUGUCUCUCUUUUAUUUCAGAUUUUUUUUUCAUACAAUAACAUUUGUACAUCAAUUUAUAAUGUUUUAUUUAUCGUUUCUACUAAGUAACAUGUUUAUGUACACUUUCUUUACGGUCCCUAUUAAUACAAAGUAUUUUUCUUCAUAAAAAAUGUGUAUUUUCUUAAUGUGUUCAAAAAUAAGUUUAUUAUGAUUCUUCUACUAUAUUAGAAAAUAUAUAUAUUUAACUCCCUCUACUUAAUUUUCUUUGAUACAAAACUCCCUCUACUUUAAAUUAGUGUAACUUAGCCCUAUUUUUUUUUUCGUGCUAUUUGUAAGAUGAUAUGAAUAUUUUUUAAAUGUCCUUAACUGCUCGAUUGACAUAUAAAUUUAUUAUGAGUUAAAUAUGAUUGAUUGAAUUUUUAUGUCUCUAAUCAUGUGAUCAAAUAACAAUAGAAGAAAAAAACGAAACAACCAAGGUUGUUAUCAAUUUAGACUAGAGAGACCAAAUGGUGUCAAAUUAAAGGAAAUAAAUCCUAAAUAAGACUAAAACCAUAAAUAGAUAGGAUUUAACCGUAGCAGGGCAUAACUAAUGUCUUUCACUUGCCUGCUCACUCGUAUGAUAGAAUUGAAACGACUGUAGAGAGUUGUUUUAUUAAGGUGAAGAUUUAACCAUAAUUUAAAAUAUGCUUAAAAGAUGGCAUAUCCAAGAUUAGUAAGUAAAGACACAAGCACUUCAAAUUAGAAGAAAUUUUCAAUUUAUAUCAUCAGGAUAUGCUACAAAAUUAAAUAAAUAUAGGAUGGUAUCUUGGGUCUUGGCUAUUGGAUUCUCAUCAAAGCCAAAGUCUAUAUAUAAUGAUCAAAAUUGUGAUGAUGGCAUAAAAUAAGUAUGUAAUAUUAUGUAACAUAAUGAAUUUAUGGCAUUAUUAUCGGACCUAUACAUGCCUGGAAUAUGUUGCUUAGAGCAUGUUGAACUUCAUUCGAGCUAUGAUCGCUUCGAACCAGAUCGACCAACAGAUGAAAGAUAUCUGCAAUGUACUUUCUGCAGGAAUCCUUCUCCAAGCAAUUCAAUGCCUUCAAUGCAGACACAAGUAGAGGUGUCCUAGCUGCCAUUUUUUCCUUUUUGGCUACUCCCAAGGGGAGAAUCCAAUGAGUCACCGGUAUCUCAACCGGUUUCUGCCGCCGUGCGUAGUUGUAAUCGGUGCAGCUAAGGUAUAUCAGCAAUAUUUUUUCACACACUGCCACUAGUGAUCUUAGGUUCAUCUCCUUUGGGGCGGAUGAAUUGUUUUUGAUUAAAUCUUGGAGGAAGUUGAGGUAAUUUUGAUAAGCCUCGUUCUCGAAGUGAACCAUGGGCGGUUCGGAGGUCUCCAAGAUCGAGCAUACUUUCUUUAUUUUCUUUUGCAGGACAGUCUCGGAGUUCAGUUGCUGAGCAUGUGAUGUAAUGGAAGAAAAUAUCUCGACAAUGAUAUUUAUGUUGGAAGCUACCAAGAAUUGUAGGUUCGCUUUGUAUAUAUCAGUUAUAACCUGAAAUGAUGAAAGCCAAAACAAGUAUGAUCAUGUCAAAAUGAUUCCAAGGCAUAGAGAAGAGUCAUUAUUAGCAUUGCAACAAAUAGAGUGUGUAUGGGAGAACCUGCAUAAUCAGUAGCUGGACCGCGAUAAAACUCUUCAUUUUCGAAACCACAUAAGCUGAAGUUUGCAGAUUAUCUUCCUCAAGGUCAUCCUUGGUCAGUCCAUGAUCAGAGCUUGUUUCAGUAUUAGUAGAGGAUCGAGAAUUCUCAGGCACCUUGAUGUCAUCCAUGCUUCUCAAAAUCUUCAUAAACCCAGGCAAUGUUGAAGUGGCAGCUUCUUUUAUAGCUAGAAGGAUUUCUUGCCAUUCGUCUUUUGAAAAUCUGCUUCCUAACUCUCCUGUCAAACGAUAUGUUGCCGAAACUCCAGUGCUUGCAGGACCCUGUUUUGUACUUUUUAAGUAUCCUGCCAGUAUAGAUACUACAUUUGGUAGUUGAGGUCUCAAUACAUUGAAAAACCUUAUAACAAGAUCUACAAGAGACUGCGCUGCGGCAGCAGAAAUUUCAGGAUCCCAUGUACUUCCAUCAGGACGAGGAGAUUUCGCUGUUGGUGAAUCCUGUUUUACAGGAGAUGCACCAUUAAAUAAGGGGAGAACAACAGAGCUAAAAACACCAAUCCAGAAUGCUCGUGAGAAAAGAUGACCAUGACCCUUCAGGACGUUGAAAAGCACUUCCGUCGAACUCUUUCGGAUGGCUAACUUCGAGUCGGAUGUUAGUUCUGAUAAACCUGGAACAUCAUAUCAAAUUUCUAACAUUAAAACAGGAAACAAACUUCAUUUUUGGCAACAUUGAAGGAAACUAAAGGUGAUAACAAUGAACAAUCAUGUUCCCAUCCUGAGAGAAACAAAUAGCCUAUUUUGCAAUCCAUAUUCAUAAAAAUUGCUAUAAUAAAUGUCGAUAAUGGUAAUAAAAUGAUCGCAAAGUAAUAAAAAAAAAACUGUUGAAAACACACACGACUCUAUUAUAAUUGAAGUCUAAUAAAAGAAGUAUAGUCCUAUACGAAUUCAACUUGUGCGGUAUGGUCCAUACCGCAGAGACAGACAAUUGCAACCCCAGUCGAGUUUAGUGCUUAAUGGGGAUUUGUGGCGGUCUAUGGUCUCGGUCCUUCGCCCCCAUAGAUCCCCUUAUUUUGCCUCUCUAUUUUAUUUUUUAAAAAGUUACGGGAUUCGGGUCAAAUAACUCUUAACAAAAGUGUUAGCAAGUAGUAACUAGCAGAUUACCUGCUAGCAAGGGAACCCAAUAGGAUGCAUGAUCAUCACUAUCAGCGAAACUUUGUAGAUCUCUAUCAUUCUUAGUUACAGCUGAAACAGAUGAACCAUCGUCUGGGCUCUUAUCAGCGCAAACAAGGCCUCCCUCAGCAAGUUUGAUAGCACAAAACCGGAGAAAUCCAAUAGCAUUAAGGCUAAUAUCACUGUCAAACUUGCUAUUUGUGAACUUGAUGAGGCAUCGCACACAAUCACUAAAAGUAGAAGCGUCUGUCUCACUGAUAUGAGGAAAGUACUCUCUAACUAUUUUUUCCAUGGUCCCAAAAGCUAGCAGGACAAUAUUCUUCCGCUCAUCCACAGCAGCAGCUGUAAACACCUGAGAAAAUGAUAAACUUGUGUGAAAAUAAAAGCUGUUCCAGCUGCAAUGACAAUCGAAAUCAUGUAUGAGCAAUUAGCAUACCAUAAAGACACUUUUCCAUCCAGAUUUCACAUUACUGACGCGGCUGAGUACCAUCUGAGAAACGUAUCGAACUAUUAAUUCCCUUAUUUCUAUGGAGUUGCUUUUUUGCAUAACAAUCACAAAUGGUCUCAAAAAUUCAUUCUGGAAAUUGUAGUUUGCCAGCUCCUCACGUUCUAAGAAUUUCAUAGCAAGCUGCCGCAAGGAAUCCAUCACAAAGAUUGCCACGGAUAAAUUCUCGGACAGUCCAACAGAAACAAAGAAAUCAGAGAGAACAUUCCAUAUGCGAAACCAAACUAAUCUGAUGCGGUUCAUAUUGUAGUGCCUGCAACAUAAGAUUCUAGAAUAAGCAUUCUCCAUAGGCACAUAGAGGAGGGAUAUAGAGAGGGCUAGGGCAAUUUCAUCUCUGAAGCCAAAAACUGAUCUGUUGGAGCUAGAGCAUUAUAUGAAAUUUUCUAAAAGAAAAAGAUUAAGAAUCUUACGCAAUUUCAACUAGUUUUGUGAGGCUAAAAACUCGAGGGUCUGUUGGAGACUGCAACUCUGCUAUAGAAACCUUGCAAAGGGCCUUCACAAAAGCCACUAUUGCUUCACUGUUUAAUCUUUGGCUAUGUACAAAAACAUGGUUCAACUCGGAACUUCCUAUCUGUUCCAAUAAAUUCAAGUUUGCAAUGAAUUGAUUAAUCUGCUCUGGGGUUACCAGUCCUGAACUAUUGGCUCCAACAGCGGCACUGUCAUAUGACCCUCCUCGCACAAUUGCCAUUACAGCUGGAUUCUGGAGUGAUCCUUUUUUCUUCAGGGAUUGAAUACCAGAAGGUUUUGGAACCUUUUCAUCUAUUUCAGUGUUAGGCACGGAUAAAAUGGAUGUUUCGGUUGAUGAACCUUCUCCCAACAGUUGCAAAUGCUCAACUCUGGACAGGCAUGUCAAUAUAUGCUCCCAGGAUUCCUGAAGAUGGUUACCAUCUUCAAUGGCAAUAGAUAUUAUUGCCUAUAUUGUAAAAUAUUUCAAAAGGUGAGUAAAAAGAACACGUCACAGAAACUUAGAUUUGAUGCAAUAUUUUUCACAAUUAGGCUAAGUGGUUCUACUCAAGUGACUAGACUAUCAAUGUUCCACAACCAAGCAAAAGCCAACAAUAAGGAACUGUAAAACAUAAAAACAUAAAGUACAGGAUAUGAAUUGUAUUGUCUCUGUGGUGCGAGGCUGUGCAUGCAAACAUUGAGAUGCUGCAAUUCUUUCUUGUGUGAUAUAGCAUAUAAGAAAACUAGGGGAAAGAUUCGAUUCUUUGUUAUCAUGUGCAAACAAAAACCACUUACUUUUACGGCAUCAACAUUCUUUUGUUUCAUGUCUGCAGCACAAUGGAGAAAAGUGAACUUUGCCGUUGAUGUGACAAAAGCAUCUCUCUGCGUCUGCAUUCCCAUUACGGCAGUUACAUGCACAGCAUGUCGAAAGCCCUGUAAGCAUUGAGUGGUAGCAAUUCUAUCAUCACUCUGGUCAAGAGUGACACUGUAUGCAGCCAGCAUAGGUCCCCAGCAGACCUCCACCAUAAACCUCAAGAUUGCUACAUCUGAAACAGAAUGAUAAACAGACCUGCAACAGCAAAGACAAAAGGUUACUAAAUAUUAUGCAGGUCUUCUGGAAAAUUUGGGAUGACAAAUUAACAAAAAUCAAUUAAAGCAGGAUGGAGAUCAUAUAUCGAGGCAGGUACAAGGACUGAAUCUUCUUCGAUUAAUGAUGCAUGUCAUUCUCUUAUCAAAUUCUAUUCCCGACAAGAAACAAAAAUCAUAUGAAUUCAUUUCCCAACUAACAUAUAUCAAAACCCGUGACAUGCAAAAAAUGUAUUACAACAUUUCUACUCAUAUACAAAAACAUGUAAAAAAACUCAUCUGAAGCUCUCGGAUAUAUGGUAUGGAGGAACAUAAAACUAACCAAUUGAGACUACGAUUCAUUACAUAAAUUUGACUUAUUAAAGUGGCAAACAUCUAUUAUUAGAUUAAAACUUACUCUGAUUUUCCCGAAUUCUCCAAACCAACCAUCUUAAAAAGGAAUUAGAUUUAGACUUACUCUGAUUUUCCCGACUUUGCCUUAAACUGCUCUUGGAUUUGUCUUAUAAGAAGCCCAUUUGCACCCAAUGCCUUUUCUUCUGUUUGCUUCCAAGUCACCAAAUUGAGUAUACCAUCCAAACCCAAUAACUUAUUUAAGCUGUUCGCCUGCAUGCUUUGAGGAACAGAAGAAUCUGCAUUCAUCUUGAUUUCAUUAUUCACAAUUUGAUCAUAAAGAGCACCAAGAUACUCCUCAGGUAAAUCUUUGCCAUCAUCUAUUCCUCGAUUGUUUCGAAUGAAAUCAGACUUGUUCAUCUGAAUACGGAAACAACAUAAAACAGAAAUAAGAGCAUAAUCAAUUCAUUUGUAAAUUUAUCUAUGUAGAUCUGAAAAAAAAAAAUUUGCAGUAGUACAGGCGGGAAAUUCCAUAUUACUGACGGUAUGAAUUUAAAGCACCAGAAUGGCUUACAAGUCCCAGAAUAGAUCAUAAAGGAGUUCUUCAAAAGACAAGUAUAUGCAUAAGCAUGUAAGCUAAAGCUCACAAUUUGAUAACGUGCUGAAGAAACAAACCUUGUCUUUGACCAUGCUAUUAUGGGCAUCAGUGUUGAGCAUUAUGACAGAGUAUGCCAGUACAUAGGCAGUAUCUGCACUGGUAAAUGAGCUAGGAUUACAUUUACAAUAGCGCUCAGCAAACUUUUCCAUGAUGCGGUCAAUUUUCUGUGCUUCUCCUGGUAACCUGAAGCCUUGUAGGAAGAACCUUAUCGCUUCACCAAAAUCCAUAGAUUUGAAAUCAAAGGAAUCCACAUAAGCAUGCAUAACUUUCAAAGCAAAAUCCUCCCUUUCACCCAAAUAAUCACCAAUCAUGGCUUCAUUCAACCCAGUAGUGUUACUCUUCAGAAAAGCGGCCACUUCCUCUGGAGAGUUGCCAACCUUUUUGGUAUUUAUAAGAAACUCAAUGCCUUUGGAUGGCUUCCUGUUAAACAACGAAACACCUUUCUGCAUAUAACCAAGUAAAACUGUCACUAAAACCAAGCUUGUGAAGAAAAGGAGAAAACUAAAAAUAUAUUAAGCUAUAUAAAAAUACGUGACAGAAGAGAAGCCAAUAAUGGCAAAUUCUCAUGAUAUGUUAAAGCAGCCCUCUCCAAUAAUUUGGAUACUUAAUAAGUAUGAAGUACAUGAAAACACAGUCGCGCUUGAUCCCAGCUAACCUGAAGUUCAAUCUUGUAAGCCCGCCGUUGCUCAAGUGUAGCAGCAUUUGACAAUUCAGAAUUCAUUUCUGGUUGCAACUCGCAAUCAGAGACUGUUCCAUCUUCUGCAGUCAAAGUUGAAUGGCCCUCUGCUGCAGUGUCACUCUUGAAGCUCUUACGCAAGUCAGAAUCACCUAUUGUCAGCUUUUGGUCCAUCCAAGCUCCCAUUGACUUAAUAAUGCUAACCAAGCAAUUUACUGAUUCAUGCCGGAAAGUUAUAUCCUGGACUGCAGACAAAGUAGUUGUUGAAGCAGGUGGCGGUCCUAGAGCUGUUUUGAGAAGGCCGUUGACAAUCCUGCAAAUAUCUGAGGGAAUUAUAAGAGUUUUAAUACAUUUUUAUAAAGUGCAACACGUUCAUAAAUAAAAAAAGAAUGGAAUUUUUAAUAAAACAAAAUACAUUAGAAGGGAUGCUAAUGCAACCUCUGAGAACAACACGAAACGACUGGUUCUUGAGUUAAUUCCUGGGUUGAUCAACCCUCUUUUGCAAAAUUUGAGAAUUUGGUUUCAAAUUCAGAUCAUUUUACAUAUGAAUGGAUAUAAAGAUUUUUAAUACUACAUUUUACUAAAGUUUGAUUUUGAGGAAAAAGGAAAGUGAAUUGAAAUAUUACAUCAGAAAAGAAGCUAAAGCAUGAACUGGGAACAUCAAAGAAUAAUUUCCGCUUGAGUUAAUUCCUAUUUGACCUACCUUUUGUAAAAAAUUGAGACAAGGUUUCGAAUUCGUAUAGGAUUUCAGAUAUGAUUCGUUGGAUACUUAUCUUGAAAAUAUGACAUCAUAAACUUAUUUGAUUUCAUGAAAGCAGCAUUCAUGUUAAACACUCGUACGAAAAAUUAUUAGGGGGGGAAAAUUACCUUUCAAAUAUGUUUGGUGAAUCCACAUCGCAGUCAUAAUUCACGAAUAUAUCAAUGAUAAUCUGUGAAUCCGCAGCAAUCUUUUCCAACAGAUUAAGGACUGUCAUUUUCUGUACAAAACUUGGCUGUAAAACAUUCUCUAGAACUCGGAGGAUAAGCAUGGGAAAGAAUAUUCCAAUUUCAUCUUUCAACCCUGUUCUAUAUUUCGUUAGCAGGCUCAUAAAAAUACAACUUUGGAGCUGGAAAAUUGACAUCACUGACAAGGCACUGUUUUUUAACAAUGAUAAGCAGAGAUACUGCUUAAUUACGUUAAGAAACCUGCAUUUUGUAGCACAGAAUAUAAGAACAUUAGAAUAAAUUUAACUGAAGACUGCAGAAAAAAGAGUUAUUUAUCACCAACACUACACGACAUACCAAGCAAGAUGAUGAUGAUGAUGAUGAUGAUGAGUUGACAUUGGUUUUCGGAGCUCUUUCAUUUAAUUUUUGAAACUAGCUCAAUAAAUUAUUCUUUUUCAUAUUUAUUCAUGAAAAUCUCACUACUUAAAAGCUAUGUGCUUGAAACAGGUUCAUUCAGGUUUUUCUUUUAAGUUUCCCUCCAUCAAGACCCCCAUAAUAAUGAAAUAUGGGGUGUUGGAUGGGUCACGACAUGUUUUUUUUUUCCUAACAUUUUUUUAUAACUAGGUUGAGAUUGUAUUUUAUUCUCUUUACUGAACAAAUAAGUUAAUUAGUCUAUAAUAGAGUAAACUAAUUUUUUUAUUAAAAAUUUUAUGCAUUUUGUUGUUAAAAAUUAGUCUAUAUAUGUUAGCAUGAUUAUUCCAUUAAUCACACCAAUUUUAAUAAUAUAAAGGGAUAAUUUUUUAAUAAAAAAGACUAAUUUAAUUUUUAAUCUACUAAUUUAUUUAAAUUUCUAAUAAAAAAUAUAAUUUCACACCUCUAGAACCUCCGUAAUAUAUUUACUAUUAAACUCACUAAAUCUAAACCCAAAGCAUAUAUGGUGACGAUUGUUAGGAAAAAAUCUAACAAAGCCCAAAGUAUAUAUGGUGACGUGCAAACAACCAUAAUUAUUUUAUAUAAAAUCAGAACCCUACGUGAAUAAAGUAGUAUAAAAUUACUUGCCUAACAUUCGAGCGCCAAAUGGAACCCCCAUUAUCCAUAACAGCCUUGAGGAGCUCCAAAGACAGCGUUUUCCCUCUUAAAAGGAUCUGAUCAUCAUUCUCCUGUGAUGAAAACUUCAUUGACAACUUACACAAAUUCUUAAAAACAAGAAAGCCGUCCUCCCUAAUUUUACUAACCCCACCGGAACCCGAUUCCACCCCCCCUUCCUUCGCCUCUAACUCCCCAAUUUCCUCCUCUUCCCAUUUCGACGUCUUCAACUCAACAUUUUGCAGCUCCUGAUCCUUACUCGGCUGCGAUAGCUUCAAAUCUGGAACCCCUUCACUGGCACUCAUAACCUCGCUAACAAAAUUCUGACAAUGAUAAAUUGAACUUCCUUCAUUUAAAUUCUUAUCACUAAACUCUAAAAGCUCACUAACCGACACUGUUUUGAUAGAAACAUCAAUGGAAUCUUCUUCCGCUCGGGUGAAUACAAUUAGCAUAAUCUGAGCCAAAACGGACUUAGCACAGAUUUGAUUGGUUCCACUCAAACCGCGUAAAUAUACGUUAUAACAAGUUCUAACGACGUUGAGCAAGCAAUCACCACGGAUCAAAACGCAAGGACAUCGGAUGGCGGAGAGCAAAACUCGCAGCACGGCGAGCUCGAGCGAUUCCUCCCCGAUGCCGCCGACUUUGCAAACGGCUUCGACGAUUUUGUAGAGGAUCGGAUUGGAAACGUUGCCAUGGAUCUCGCCACGAGCGACGCCGAGGGAGAAUAAUUUGAAGGUGCAUUCGAGGGCGGGCUCGGCAACUUUGACGUAGUUGGUUUCCAAGGCGAGAAGGAUCGGGUUAAGGACGAAGUUGGCAUCGGAAGAUGAAAUGCCGAGCAGCGGUGAAGUCGGAUCGGACAAGCCGGUGUCGGAGAGGGUCUCGAGCUUGUCGAGAGCGGAUUUGCAUGAGGAAACGAGGUGCGUGUGUUUUCGCCAUGCGGCAUUUUUUAUGAUCUUGUCGAGCGGUGGGCCUAGCACACGGCCGCACCUCGACGGUCCUCCGAGCGUCUGGGAAGCUAACAUCACCGUGUUAUUAUUAUUACAAUUUGAUUAUUCAGAUCUCUGGAUCUGAUCCGAGUGUUAAUUGCAUUGCAAAUUCAUCGGAAAUUGAAAAUGCGUGAGAUAAUGAGCCUUGUUUUUUUUUUGGACCACUGACCAAUUCUUCUUGCUGGGGGUUGGAAUUUGAUUUGCCUAAGGGGAGCAGAGCCGAUAAAUGUGUGCUUGAUCGAGCUUUAUGGCCAAUUAAAUAUUAAAAAAAUGCAUUCAAAUUAUUAUUUUUUAGACAAGUUUUUAUUUAUUUAUUACACUUAAAUAAGUCAUUAUGAUUUGUGUUUACGGUUUUAUUUCAAAUAAAAUAUUAAUUUAUUUUAUAAAUACUUAUUAAUUCCAUCCCUUUUUUCGUCGAAAAAAAAAAUUCCAUCCUUUUAUAAAAAUUUAGUCUUGUUGGAUAACAUUACUAAAUUUUUACGGUACAUCACUUACCUAUUAAUCAAUAUUUCAAGUCAGUAAAACUAAAAAAUUCAACGAUUUAUAUAUAAUAAAUUAAUAAAAUUUAACAAUUUAAGUUUCAUAUAUUUACUAAUUAUUUGACUAGCCUAAUUAUUAUAUAAUUCAAUGAUCAAAUUAUGAUAAAUUAAAGUGUAAAAACUAAUUUCUUUUUUUUUCAUAAAGUAAGAAGACGAGUUAAUUAAAUCAUCAGUUUAAAUAUAAAUUAAAAGUUAAAUCACUAUAUAUAUGUAAUAGCUCGUUUCUCCGUGGUUUCGGAUCAUAAAUCCAAAAAAAGAGUCCGUAAAUAUUAUUAUUUAAUAUUUACGAGUCAAAUAUAGUAUUAUAGUAAAUUCUGAAUUUAUAAUUUUAGUUAAUUGAAUGAUUAGUUAAGUUCAACUGGGUUAUCUCUAAAAUCAAGUAAUUUUAGAAAAUAAGAUAUCGGGGUCUCGUAUAUAUAAACCAAGCCCAUAAAUAUUCUUAUUGAAUAUUUAUGAAGUGAUUAUAUAGGUGUAUUAAAAUUUGGUUAGGUAAUUUUGAUGUUUAGUUAGUUAAUUAAUGGAAAAUGAUUAAAUUGUAAAAGGUGGAAAUCAACUGUUAUUUUGUGUGCAAAUGUCAUUUGAAGGACCUAAUUUAGGUGAAUCAGAUCAGAUUGGAUCGCGAAGAACGUCGAUCGUCAACACGGUGAAAGGUGUGUGUUCUUUUACGAGCGGAUUGGGGCAAACCGUACCUAGAAUUAGGGCCACACGGUCUGCCACAUGGGCAUAUGGACCACACAAGUAGGUCACACGGCCCCUCACACAGCCAUUUACCUCUGAAACCUAAGAUAGUUUGAAUCUCACACGGUCAUGAAACUGCUUGCCAGGCUAAUUUACCAAAAAAAGCCACUUUUUUUAAAAAAUUACCGAAAUGGGCCAAUUUUUUAAUUAUUUACCGGAAUGGGCCAUUUUCCCCGAAAUCGCGUCCACGUCAGCGCGAUGUCAGGGUACGUGACAGGACAUCGCGUCCACGUCAGCGCGACUUGUUGACGUGGACGCGAUGUCCUGUCACGUACCCUGACAUCGCGCUGACGUGGACGCGAUUUUGACGCUGAUUUUACGUUUGGGUUUUAUGGCUUUUAGGGUUUAGGGUGCAGGCUUUU
rnacentral:lncRNA from 1 species